AUACAUAUCAACACUAUAAUAUAGUGACUCGUCUCAAAUUCUGUAUCAAUCACAAAAACAUACAACUGUAUCAAUUCUAUAGUACAUAUAGAACAUAGGGGAGCUUCACUUGCUCUGGUUAGGUCCGACCCACCUAGUACUAGGCUCCGAUUAUCCACAAGAAGUCCCACAACGGCUCAACGAAGCCCCAAUGCUGCUGAAAAACGAACGUCAAGAUCGGAUUAAAUCUACGGCCGAAAUGUCCGAUUUCGACCUAAAUUCCACUUAGUACAAAGUAACUCUUUAAAUCCCUGUUUUGGGACUAGUGUAAUACCUCAAGAGACGCCUCCAAGAGCUCUCACAAGUCAGCUCACGACGAUCCAAAGCUCGUUCGCACUCUCGCUGCGAACAACAUCGAGACGGCAUCAAUAUCAACAUAUAUAGCAAAUAUAGUCGGAAUCUUGCAAAUUCAGUUUUCUAACUGAAAUUCCUGCUUACCUCAGGUUAGAAUACCUCCCAAACCAGCUUCAAAAGGUACAAGUUCAGCUCAACGAGGCUCGAAGACCUGCUGCGAAGAAAAAAUCCCAAUUUGCAUCAAUUCGCACAACUUAGUGCAUUAAGUUCCGAUUUUAGCUUCAUAAAUGGCUAAAUAUUCCAAUUAAGCUUCAAAGUAGCUUAUCCCAGGUCUAAGAAGGUUAAUUCACAGCUAAAUAAUCCAAUUUUAAUUGCUGAAAUCUCAGAUUAAAGCAACUAGAAGCAAUAGCUCAAAAGCAACACAUAAACGUCUACUCGAACGUCGAUAAUGGAGAAAAUCGAGUCGUUUACCUUCUCAAGCUUCCAACCAGCACCCUACUGGUUCAGGACAGCAAAGAGCCUUCCAAAACACUCCCUCACACGUGCACAAAGGUGCUGCAACACUCGCAACCAGCGAAGAAUGCGCGCGACGACGAAAACGAGCGAAAUCGGCGAAUUCUUUGUAGAGAGAGAAAAACCCUAGAGAGAGAGAGAGAAAAUGGUGCAAGGUUGCUUCUCUGGGCUCUAGCACACUCCAGCAAGCUCCAAGAGUCGUGCUGGGAUCAAAUAGGUAGGUGUCAAAUGUGAAAUUACGAAAAAGCCCAAGCUGCCACGUUUCUGCAUUGUGUACCGGUACACCAUAAUGGCUGUACCGGUACACCAAGCAGAAAAGGCUGAUUUCGCCCAAUCAAUACACUGUCUUGCUUUUAGCAUUCCAAUCAUCCUCUAACUUAUCCAAAAACUUGUUCUAACCUUUUAGAACAUGUAGGAGUGAUCCACACACCAUUCCACACACUCGAACUUCGCAAUUUGCGAAAGUCCAGUGUAUUACAUUCACCCAUCCUAAAAAGAAGUUUCGUCCGCGAAACUUGUAAUCACUUACCUCAAGAUUCCAUCGAGAAUAAAUAGGGAUAAUGCUCUUGCAUUGCACUCUCCAGUUCCCAAGUGGCUUCUCGUUCCUCGUGAUUGCUCCAAAGGAUUUUCACGUAGGGUAUCUCGCGAUUACGAAGCCGUUUCACUUCUCGAGCUAGUAUUCUCACUGGAUGCUCCUCAAAGCUCAAAUCUUCUUGUAAAUCCACUGGAGUACUCUCCAAUAUGUGAGUGGGAUCAAAAACAUACUUUCGAAGUGUCGAUACAUGAAACACAUUAUGCACUCCGGAUAGGUUCGGCGGCAAGGCAAGCCGAUAUGCUACGGGGCCUAUCCGCUCUAACACCUCGUAGGGUCCAAUAAAUCGAGGGCUUAACUUUCCUCGAAUGCCAAAUCUUUUAACUCCUUUUGUCGGUGAAACCUUCAAAAAUACAUGAUCGCCGACUUGAAAUUCCAAUUCUCGCCGACGUUUAUCCGCAUAACUCUUUUGUCGACUUUGAGCUGUCAGUAGACGUUCUCGCGCCAGUCGCACUUUAGCUUCAGCCUCUUGCAGUACAUCUGGACCCAACACUAACCUCUCACCCACUUCACUCCAAUGAAGUGGUGAUCUACACUUUCUACCAUACAGGGCUUCAAACGGUGCCAUCUGAAUACUUGCGUGAUAACUGUUGUUAUAAGCAAAUUCAGCCAUCGGGAGGAACUGUGGCCAACUGCCCUGGUAGUCAAUCACACAGGCCCUCAACAUAUCCUCAAGGGUCUGGAUGGUACGCUCAGACUGCCCAUCACUCUGGGGGUGGAAAGCAGUACUAAAAUCCAAUCGGGUACCCAAGGCCUCCUGUAAACUUCUCCAAAAAUGUGAAACGAAUCGGGUGUCUCGGUCCGAAACAAUAGAAGCAGGUACUCCAUGUAAUCGCAUAAUUUCAUCAAGGUACACUUGUGCGAGUUUCUCUCCUGACCAAGUCGUGUGGAUUGGAAUAAAGUGGGCAGAUUUGGUUAAUCUAUCCACAAUUACCCAAAUCGCGUCAUGACCUGCUUGUGAGCGAGGUAAUCCAACGAUAAAAUCCAUAGUAAUCCUCUCCCACUUCCACACUGGUAUGGGUAAACUCUGAAGUUUUCCCGCAGGAAGUCGAUGUUCAGCUUUAACUUGCUGACAUGUUAAGCACUUAGCUACAAAGUCUGCAACUUCUGACUUUAAGCACUUAGCACAAAGUUCAACUUCCUUUUUCAUUCCAGGCCACCAGUAGGUUAACUUCAAAUCUUUAUACAUCUUUGUACUUCCAGGGUGUACAGUAUACGGCGCCCGGUGUGCUUCUUUCAAGAUUUCUUCUUUAAUAUCUGGAUUGGCAGGCACACAAAUUCUAUCACCGAAUUUUAGCAAUCCCUGAUCAUCCACUCGAAAAUCGCCAAUUGGAUCAACAGUGAUCUUUGCUCGAAUCUUUUGCAGGGAUUCAUCUUGAGCUUGCUUUUCUUUAAUUCGAUCGAUCAGGGUAGGCCGCACCACUAAUGACAUAAGUCUCCAAGGCGUAUUAGGAGCUACAACUUCCAAAUUUAAUUGCUCCAUUUCCUUUACCAACAGGGAUUGCAUUGUUAUCGACAUCGCCAAAUUUUCCGUCGAUUUUCGACUUAAAGCAUCUGCUACAACAUUAGCUUUUCCCGGAUGAUAGAGAAUGGUCAAAUCAUAAUCCUUGAGCAACUCCAACCAUCUACGUUGCCUCAAGUUUAAUUCCUUCUGAGUAAACAGAUACUUUAAGCUCUUAUGAUCGGUGUAAACCUCGCAACGCUCGCCGUAGAGGUAGUGGCGCCAAAGCUUUAAGGCAAAUACCACCGCUGCUAACUCCAGAUCAUGUGUAGGGUAGUUCUUUUCAUAAUCCUUUAAUUGGCGUGACGCAUAAGCAAUCACCUGGCCAUUCUGCAUUAGAACACACCCUAAGCCAUUCAACGACGCAUCGCUGUAAAUCACAUAGUCCACUCCAGUAACAGGCAGUGCCAGAAUUGGGGCGGUAGUCAAUCGUUCCUUCAGUUCUUGAAAGCUUCUUUCACAGGCUUCGUUCCACAGAAACUUAGCUCCUUUAUGUGUGAGUCGAGUGAGAGGAGUAGACAUCUUUGCAAAUCCCUCUACAAAUCUUCGGUAGUAUCCCGCCAAACCAAGGAAACUCCGAAUCUCUGUGACACUGGUCGGCCUAGGCCAAUCUUUAAUCGCUUCAAUCUUCUGUGGAUCCACAGCUAUCCCAGUUUCUGAAAUCACAUGGCCCAGAAAUGCCACUUCUCGAAGCCAAAAUUCGCAUUUCUUUAACUUGGCAAACAGUUUCUUUUUCUCGAAGUACUUGCAACACCACUCUCAAAUGGUCUUCAUGCUCUUUGUCACUUCGAGAAUAGAUCAAGAUAUCGUCAAUAAACACUACUACGAAUCUAUCCAAAUAGGGCUUAAAGACACGGUUCAUUAAAUCCAUAAAGGCUGCUGGCGCAUUAGUCAAUCCAAAAGGCAUGACUGUAAAUUCAUAAUGCCCAUACCGUGUUCUAAAAGCAGUCUUAGACACAUCUUCAGGCUUAAUCUUGAGCUGAUGAUAGCCCGAUUGCAAAUCGAUUUUGGAGUAUACUUUCGAUCCUUGCAGUUGAUCGAAUAAGUCAUCAAUUCUGGGCAACGGAUAUUUGUUCUUGAUUGUGACUUUGUUGAUUUCUCGAUAAUCCACGCACAAUCGAAGAGAUCCAUCUUUCUUCUUGACAAACAACACCGGUGCUCCCCAAGGCGAUACACUCGGUCGAAUAAAUCCUUUGUCUAAAAGAUCUUGUAAUUGUGCCUUCAGCUCUUUUAACUCAGCGGGUGCCAUUCUAUAGGGUGCUUUAGAAAUAGGAGUUGUCCCAGGGACAAGAUCAAUCACAAACUCCACUUCCCUAUCAGGUGGCAUGCCCGGCAACUCAGCUGGAAACACAUCCCCGAAUUCUCGCACAACUGGAAUAUCAUCAAUCUUGACGGUUUUUCCGUCGCUCACAGAAAUGCUAGCCAAAUAGGCUACACAACCUCUCCGAAUCAACUGUCGUGCUCGCGAAGAGCUAAUGGUCAUUGCGAACAAUGAACUCUGGCACCCUUUAUAAACAAACUCCUGUUGACCCGGUUCCUGAAAGGUCACCGUUCUGUUCGUGCAAUCUAUGGUGGCAUAAUACUGUGUCAACCAAUCCAUACCCAAUACUACAUCAAACUCACCUAGUUUGUGUAGUGCCAAUAAAUCCACUGGCAUGAUCCAGUCGCCUACCCUAACUGGGCAGCGAGGGCAAUACUCACAAAUAUCCAGGGUAUGGUCAGGUACAAUCACUCGUCCUAAAUGCAAAGUGGGUACCAACUGUAUGCUAUGCAACUCGGCGAACUGCCGAUCAAUAAAAGAAUGCGAAGCACCAGUAUCAAAUAAUGCACGAACACGAAUAUCAUAAAGCAUAAUAAUACCUGCUACGACCUCCUGUGCUGCUGUGGCGCCCUCAGUCUGGGUGGCAUACAUCCGCCCACUCGAACCCUGCUGCGAACUCUCCGACUGCCGCUGUCCUGGUGGUCGCCUAGACUGAUAAGGCGCUGUCGGGGUGCCCUGGCUCGGAGCUGAAGAUGCAGGUGCAGAAGCUGACGAGGGUGCAGGCAAAGAACCUCUCGGGCACUCUGAACGAAAGUGGCCCUCCUGGCCGCAAAGAAAGCACCUGCCCCCACGCUGUGGACACUGUGGCGGUACGUGAGGCCCACCACAGAUAACACAACGCGGCGGUCGUCGACGCUCGGGUGCUCCACGGGGUGCUGAAGAUCCUCGACCCCUCGACUGUCCUGACUGUCCCCUCGGAUACUUUGGCGGUCUCCUGAAGGCCUGCUGACCACUGCUCUCAGCUGCUGGUCUCUUGCCUUUGCUUCGAUCCACAACAUCUCUUUCCUUCAUGAUUUCUGCCCCCUUCUCAACAAUCAAAGCCCGGUUCACGACGUCCCGGUAAGUGGAGAGGUUUGACGCCUGGACCAAUCUGAAGAUCGCAGGUCGCAAACCCACCUCAAAAAUACGAGCCUUGUCCUCAUCGUCUCGGACUACAAAAGGAACACAGUGCAGUAAUCGAGAGAACUCUCGCUCGUACUCAGCCACUGUCCUGUCCCCCUGUCUCAAGUUCCUCAGAUCCCUUUCCAUCUGCCUCUUCACACUCUGUGGAAAAUAGGUAGUCAACAACAACUCCUUGAACCUGUUCCACGUGAUAGCAGACAAAUCAGCACGGGGAUCCUCCCGGAUGUCCACCCACCACCUAUAAGCCUCGCCAUCAAGGUGGUGUGUCGCAAACCAAACUCGGUACCGCUCCUCAACAAAAGUGUCAUAGAAUAGUUUCUCCAUAUGCAUUAACCAUUUUUCAACCACCCAAUGAUCUGCUUUCUCCCCAUCAAAGACACGAGGGUUGCAGCGACGGAAUUCAUUCAGUCGUUCCAUCAUCCGCUCUCGCUCCUCAACCCCCACCAUCUCGGGUAACACUGUCCCAACUGCUGCUACAGGUACUGGUGGUGGUACUACUGUCUCCUGUCGGGUCUCUGCCCUCGGAGCUACUGGGGGUGUAUCGGGUACCGGUGACUGUGCUCUCACUGUGGUGCCCCUCUCUGGUACUAUAGGUACAGAAUCCGGAGGUACAGAACCUGGAAUCUCUCUAUCGGUCGUCUGCCGCAGUAAUAGAUCCUCUAACCUCUUCAUCCUGUCCUCCUGCCGACGCGCAGCGUCUAUCUGCUGUCGUGCUGCCGCGGCCUGCUGAGUAACCAACUCUGUCAACGUCGCAAGCUGAUCCUGCAACUCAUGAAGCUCACUGGACCCCGACGUGACGGAAGUCUCUACCUCUUCCGCAGCGGCCGCCUCAGCCGCCCCGGCGGUUCCAGAACGAGUCGUAGGCAUCUUGAACUGCAACACAAAAACAAACAUAGGUCAAUAAACCCUAUACUACUGAACCCUCAUUGAGGAUAUAAACCAGCUAAUCAAGCGAAAGUAAUGAAAUGUAACGCCUACUAACUUCCGAUGUCACGUUGUCGGCCGCCAACGUGACCCUCUGCAAAGUUAGUAGUUGCACAUCCCGAUCAAACUCCUACUAUUCGGAGUUUAUAAGUACCCAAUCAAAGUACUUUCGCUAACAACAACCUCGACUAGACAUCGUCUCUCACGAGCCUAUCCUUAUAGUCCAACCAGCCUAAGGUUUACAAGGUCUACUAAGACUCAACCCUAGGCUUCGUACUCAGCCACUGUCCUGUCCCCCUGUCUCAAGUUCCUCAGAUCCCUUUCCAUCUGCCUCUUCACACUCUGUGGAAAAUAGGUAGUCAACAACAACUCCUUGAACCUGUUCCACGUGAUAGCAGACAAAUCAGCACGGGGAUCCUCCCGGAUGUCCACCUACCACCUGUAAGCCUCGCCAUCAAGGUGGUGUGUCGCAAACCAAACUCGGUACCGCUCCUCAACAAAAGUGUCAUAGAAUAGUUUCUCCAUAUGCAUUAACCAUUUUUCAACCACCCAAUGAUCUGCUUUCUCCCCAUCAAAGACACGAGGGUUGCAGCGACGGAAUUCAUUCAGUCGUUCCAUCAUCCGCUCUCGCUCCUCAACCCCCACCAUCUCGGGUAACACUGUCCCAACUGCUGCUACAGGUACUGGUGGUGGUACUACUGUCUCCUGUCGGGUCUCUGCCCUCGGAGCUACUGGGGGUGUAUCGGGUACCGGUGACUGUGCUCUCACUGUGGUGCCCCUCUCUGGUACUAUAGGUACAGAAUCCGGAGGUACAGAACCUGGAAUCUCUCUAUCGGUCGUCUGCCGCAGUAAUAGAUCCUCUAACCUCUUCAUCCUGUCCUCCUGCCGACGCGCAGCGUCUAUCUGCUGUCGUGCUGCCGCGGCCUGCUGAGUAACCAACUCUGUCAACGUCGCAAGCUGAUCCUGCAACUCAUGAAGCUCACUGGACCCCGACGUGACGGAAGUCUCUACCUCUUCCGCAGCGGCCGCCUCAGCCGCCCCGGCGGUUCCAGAACGAGUCGUAGGCAUCUUGAACUGCAACACAAAAACAAACAUAGGUCAAUAAACCCUAUACUACUGAACCCUCAUUGAGGAUAUAAACCAGCUAAUCAAGCGAAAGUAAUGAAAUGUAACGCCUACUAACUUCCGAUGUCACGUUGUCGGCCGCCAACGUGACCCUCUGCAAAGUUAGUACUUGCACAUCCCGAUCAAACUCCUACUAUUCGGAGUUUAUAAGUACCCAAUCAAAGUACUUUCGCUAACAACAACCUCGACUAGACAUCGUCUCUCACGAGCCUAUCCUUAUAGUCCAACCAGCCUAAGGUUUACAAGGUCUACUAAGACUCAACCCUAGGCUCUGAUACCACUAUAAUCUGUCACGCCCGGGUACCAGCGGAAGCAUAUCCGGCACGUGCACAGACCCGCCAUACACCUGCAGUAUAUAAGGCGUCUACAAGAAGCAAGUCGAUAGGAAGUAAAACAAGAAGUCCUAUCCUGAUAUCAGAGCAAAAUACAAGUCGAUAUACAACGAGUAUCAAAUCCAAGUCAAAAUACAAAGAGUAUACAAUCCAGGAUCUCAACAAAAAGGAGAAGUAACACUACUAUAAUCUCAACCCCGAAAGUAAAUAUACAUCACGGGUGUACAAAAAGAAUAGAUACAAUGGUGGUCUCUCUAUAUAUAUAUGGACAUCACCCUCGGCCGUAGCCCGAGUAGCAAGGUGAUCGACUAGCACGCUCCUAGUAGUCCCUAGCUAGGCGCGACUCCCUUGCCACGAUCCCUAGCCUCUCCUGUAACAGGCUCUGUAAAAACAACCACCAAAAGGGCGUGAGAACUAUUAACAAUAGUUCCCAGUGGGUAAGCCGCCAGCCUCGGCGAAUUACACCACUAGGCUCGAGAUGUACAGAAUGGAAAUAAAAGCAGUAAUUUGCAUGAUAUAUUUUCAAUGCUAACAAUUCAUAAGCCAAUGUUAACAAAUAAUGAACAUGUAAACAACAUGUGAUCAUAGCAUCAACAGUAAUGAAUCAACUGAAUGAUAGAAGCAUGGCUACUACUAUAAGCAUAAACAUAGCAUAAGUGUGUAAGUAACUACUGUACACUGUAACUGGUAAUUAUUCAUUACUGUCCAAUUUCCUUUAGCAUUUUUCUUUCAUUCACAGGGAUCUACUCAAGGUAGUCCAGCUUGCGCCGCGCCUAAUGGCCCCGUGGUAGUAUACACUCCCCACGGCAAUCCACUUCGGCACCCAAUCCCGCACGGGCGAGCAACUGUCGCGUAGGCCAACUCCGGAGUGCCGGCUUGUAGGGAGCUACCCUCACAAGCGUGUGCGAAUGAGCACGAUGGCAAGCAAGCAAAGUCCAUUAUCCACAUGUCUCAAUUUUCAUAAUUUUCACAUACAAAGUUCAGAACCCUCGAUCCUCUGAUCGGAAUAUCAAUACACAAAUAGUAACAAAAGCUAGUAUCCACUAGAUUGUAAACAUGUAAGGGUAAAGCUAAAUCACAUAGCAUUAUAAUCUUUCCACUAGUAUGGCACUAUCAACAUAGUCAUGAGCAUGUCAUAGUUCCCUAUGUUAGAGUCAAGAGAAUGUCAUGGUUCUCUACAAAGUCACGAGAAUAUCAUUGUUCUCUACUCUACUAAAGCAUCAUUAGUAUGUCCAUUAGUUAUCUUAACUAAAUAUGAACAUAAACAUAGGCAUAAAGACACUUAUGCAUGAGUACUCUCUACUUCAUAGAGGUUCUAUUCAAUCAAUGUAUACAUAUCAACACUAUAAUAUAGUGACUCGUCUCAAAUUCUGUAUCAAUCACAAAAACAUACAACUGUAUCAAUUCUAUAGUACAUAUAGAACAUAGGGGAGCUUCACUUGCUCUGGUUAGGUCCGACCCACCUAGUACUAGGCUCCGAUUAUCCACAAGAAGUCCCACAACGGCUCAACGAAGCCCCAAUGCUGCUGAAAAACGAACGUCAAGAUCGGAUUAAAUCUACGGCCGAAAUGUCCGAUUUCGACCUAAAUUCCACUUAGUACAAAGUAACUCUUUAAAUCCCUGUUUUGGGACUAGUGUAAUACCUCAAGAGACGCCUCCAAGAGCUCUCACAAGUCAGCUCACGACGAUCCAAAGCUCGUUCGCACUCUCGCUGCGAACAACAUCGAGACGGCAUCAAUAUCAACAUAUAUAGCAAAUAUAGUCGGAAUCUUGCAAAUUCAGUUUUCUAACUGAAAUUCCUGCUUACCUCAGGUUAGAAUACCUCCCAAACCAGCUUCAAAAGGUACAAGUUCAGCUCAACGAGGCUCGAAGACCUGCUGCGAAGAAAAAAUCCCAAUUUGCAUCAAUUCGCACAACUUAGUGCAUUAAGUUCCGAUUUUAGCUUCAUAAAUGGCUAAAUAUUCCAAUUAAGCUUCAAAAUAGCUUAUCCCAGGUCUAAGAAGGUUAAUUCACAGCUAAAUAAUCCAAUUUUAAUUGCUGAAAUCUCAGAUUAAAGCAACUAGAAGCAAUAGCUCAAAAGCAACACAUAAACGUCUACUCGAACGUCGAUAAUGGAGAAAAUCGAGUCGUUUACCUUCUCAAGCUUCCAACCAGCACCCUACUGGUUCAGGACAGCAAAGAGCCUUCCAAAACACUCCCUCACACGUGCACAAAGGUGCUGCAACACUCGCAACCAGCGAAGAAUGCGCGCGACGACGAAAACGAGCGAAAUCGGCGAAUUCUUUGUAGAGAGAGAAAAACCCUAGAGAGAGAGAGAGAAAAUGGUGCAAGGUUGCUUCUCUGGGCUCUAGCACACUCCAGCAAGCUCCAAGAGUCGUGCUGGGAUCAAAUAGGUAGGUGUCAAAUGUGAAAUUACGAAAAAGCCCAAGCUGCCACGUUUCUGCAUUGUGUACCGGUACACCAUAAUGGCUGUACCGGUACACCAAGCAGAAAAGGCUGAUUUCGCCCAAUCAAUACACUUUCUUGCUUUUAGCAUUCCAAUCACCCUCUAACUUAUCCAAAAACUUGUUCUAACCUUUUAGAACAUGUAGGAGUGAUCCACACACCAUUCCACACACUCGAACUUCGCAAUUUGCGAAAGUCCAGUGUAUUACAGCAAGUUCCUUUUAUCAGUUGAUUGGAAAGUGGAGAAGAUCCUUCAGAUUUUGGGAGAAAGACUCUGCUUGGAUUUGCCUUCACUAUGACAUGGCAUUAAAUUCACUAAUAUUACACUUCAGUUAACUGAGAUUAUAAUCACAGGCUUGUUUGACAUGUGUUUGGGGAAAACUUAAGAAGGAAUUCACUUUGGGUAAUAAGUUCCUUUUACCAGUUGAUGAGAAAGUAAAACUGACUUCAAAGUUUUUGUGAGAAAACUCUCAUUUGGUUUUGCUUUCAUUAUGAAUUGUCAUUAAAUUCUAUUUGUUCCAUUCCUUUCGAGCCAUUUGAUUGCUUUUACCACUUUCAAUUACUUGAUUAAAAAUACUAUGGCAGGAGAUGUUAUCAAUUAGAUUUCAAAAUUUUCAGGAUGCGCCCAGAAUCCAAGAUGAAAUUUCUGAUCUUAAUGACAGAUUACAAAACAGGAUGUGUAAUUUCCACAAUUACAUGUAUUUGCUAUAGAUCUUCUCUUAGGCGAAAUAUGUUAUAACGAUUAGUUCAAAUUUUGCCAGGGUUGUGAAGAAGUAUGACCACGACUUUCUUUUAACUUUUUUCCUUUUUUUUAAAAGUUGCUUUUGCAUUAUUUUUGUUUAGAGCUCUCUUAAUAGCCAUGAUUGUAUGAAUUCUAGAUAUAUUUUCUGUUCCACUGACAAUAAUGGAUGUCAAAUCAUCCAGUUUGAUGGCUUUAUUGACCUUGAUGCGUACGAUACUAUAGCCAUGAGGCUUAGAGGUGAUGGAAGAUGUUAUAUAUCAACUGUAAGUCUCGCUCAUCAUGACAAAAAGGACUUCUCAUCACUUCUUUUCAAUCUACUUUCUACAUAUAUAAAUUUAAAUUGUCCUUUUGUUGCAUUUUUUAUUUGUUUUUUUGGUAUAGAUAUACACGGAGAACUGGGUUAAUUCGCCCGGACAGCAGGAAGAUAAUUCAUGGCAAGCUUUCAUUCUCGCACCCAAGGAUACAUGGCAUAUCGCAAAGGCUAGUUUUUAUUCCCUGUCAAGACUUCCUAUGUUUCUUGUCCAAUACUGGAAUGGAAUCAUUAUGGAAUUUCUUUUGCAAUUUAUGUGAUUUCCAGUGCCAAAGGGAGAAGACACAUGCAUUCUAACAUAGAGAACAAAUUACUUAUUUCAGAUUCCUUUAGAUCGAUAUUUGCCGACGUGGAGAGGAAACGUGAUCGAUGCCAAGUUAGAGAUGAACCCAUCCCGCAUCGUCGGGAUGUCUCUCUCCGUAAAUGCAGAGGGUGGUGUUCCCGGUGCCAGGACCGGACCUGGAGACUUCAAACUAGGGAUUGAUUGGAUUAAAGCUUUGAGAACUUAGAUAUCACGUUUUCAAAUGCAGCUUUUUGUUUAAACUCGAUUUUAGUUUGACCAACGAAAGAUCUUUUCAGUAGAGGUGGCAUGCCGGCAGGUUGGCUUGGUGUUUUUCGGGUCUCUAUAUGGUUGAGUAUUGGUUUUGAGUCAUUAGGUUCCGAUUUUUCUCGGGUUUCAGGUUUUCCGUGGUUCAGAUAGCCACAUGUUUUGGAUCUUUUCGUUUUUCGGUUUCUGGUUUGGAUUAUCUCAUCUUCGAGUUCUUCUCUACUUCUGAUUUCACUUUUACUCAGAUUAGGUUUUGGAUUAUCUUGUGGCUCGGCUGCUUUGGGUCAAUAAGAAAUGGUCUUCUCCGCGUCGAGGUCAUUUUCGGUUCCAGAUUGCUCCAGGAUCAGUUCAUUGACUUCUGCAUCUUUUUCUUUUUCUUUUUUUAAAUCAAUUUGUGAAUUAUGCGUCGAGCCGACUUUUCCCCCUCUGCCUUUCUGUGCGGAAUUUCGAGGAUUUUUCAUAUUUUACAGUUGUUCCAGUAUGCCAUCUAAUGUAUUGACAAUGUACAUCAACAUGAGUUAUCCAAAGAAUAACUCCAGAUCAAAUGAGUUAUGGGUGAGUUUUACUUUCUCUCAUUUAAUAAUAAUUGGUUCAUUAUCUGAUGAUCCCACCAAGGGAAGAUAUUUUGCUGUGGAAUUUGGUGGGAAAAAUAAACUAACAAUUAUGUCUUUGUCACCAUAGUUCAAGCAAGGUGUAUUCUUGUGACCUUUUUUUUUUCCCCUUCAAUUUUGCCCCUCCAAAGUUCCUUUUUUUUUAAUUAUAGAUAUGAGGAUGAUAUCUAUGUGUACAUGACAAAUUUAGUUGGAUAGGUUUCACUUGAGGUUCUCGAGUGUCUUAAACUUUUGGGAUUGUUUUACUUUGAUCCCCUCUUUGUCAGGAGAAAUUUUAUUUGUACAUUCCAAAAGAAGAGUGUAGAUCUCACGCCCCCCAUCUUAUGAUUCAUAAAAAUUCAAAUAGUUUUUGAUAAAAAUAAAAAAAAAAAUUGAUGUGAUAAGUAGACAAUUAAUGGUCCUCGAAUGAAAUGGGUUUAAAAUAUAAACUCUACUUUGGAGUAUACCAAUAGCAGAGUAUACCAAUAGCGUUGUUCAUUUGUCAAUUGUCAGUUUAGGUAAAAAAUGUAUGGAGACCCCCUCACUUAUAGGUAUUUCUUGUACACACCCUUCAACUUUUAAAUUUUGUGAUUCGUGUUUUUAUGCUAAUUAAGUUAAAAAUGUUAUUAAAUUUUAUAAUUCAAGCACCUAUUAGCAGUUAAUUAAUUUAGCUUUAUUCGGUAUCAAGGGGUUAAAGCUAUUAAAUUCGAUAAAAUCAGCAAUAAAGUAUUUCUUUACCAUUGCAUAGUACUGCUUUAUUCGAAUCUUAAAGCAUCGCAGAGUGGUAUCUAAAGAUGGGGAGAUGCAUGUCGCAAAAUUACGCGUGAUCAGAGUUUUUAUGGAAGGAACUUUGCCAUAAGUGCCUUUGAAAACCCUAACAAUGCACCUAGUAAGUUGUAUUUUAAUCCAGAAUCUGAUGUAGAAAAACAAAGUUUAGAAUCUAACCAGUAGUGAGAGAGAGAGAGAGAGAGAGAGAGAGAGAAAGCUAAUCUGAUGUAGAAAAACAAAGUUUAGAAUCUAACCAGUAGUGAGAGAGAGAGAGAGAGAGAGCAAGCUACGUUCAAUGUUUUUUAGAAAUAAACUCAGCCAGAAAUGUAAAGCAACUAAACUUUGAACUUGAAACCUCAGAUACGAACGAUCAAGCUUUUAGCUAACUGUGCUAGGUACGGUCAACCGAAACCUUCGGUCUUAUCCACUGUGUUUAAUAAUCGAAUCUCGCACGUCAUGGAUGACGAGCUUCUCGUUGUAAAAUUACCUCUAAAAAGGCCCAAUAUAUAUUGUAACACUCCUCCAAUCUCUCAUACUUCCUUUUCUAAGUAGGUUAUCAAUAAUCAAUAACUAAUAUUAAAAUCCUCUUACCAACCUCUAACACUCCUCCUAAUUUAAUAGAUUCUUAAGAGUCUGAGGACUGAGAUAGUUCUCAUCCUUCCCGGAGGAGCAACUUCUUUUGCAGGUGAGCUCUCCCAACCUCUCCUUUGUGUUGCUAUGCUGAUCAACUCUGAUAUAAAACACUCUCCUUUUCCAAUGAUUACAGAAAGAAAAAAAAGAGGAGGAUUUGUUUAGUUUUGAUUUUGCGUUUUGAUUUUGCGUUUAUCUCCGUAUCGAACCGAUCUAUGGGUUACUUGUCGGAAACUAAAGUCGAAGAAUUCGAAAGCAAAUACGACGAUUCGGAAGGCAUCUUCGAGAUGGCAUGGAGUCCUUUCUGGAGCAUCCUCCCUCGCCCAAGAUUUACCUUCCUAACAAGUUUCUCAUUUCUGGAUGAUGAUUUCGAAAGUGAGUGGGAGGUAGGUUGGCGCAGAACGCCGCGAAUCAGUAAAAAGGCGGUUGAUGCGAUGCCAACGGUCGAGAUCGAUCGGUCGAUCAACUGCCCGAUAUGCCUAGAAGAGUUUGCGAUCGGCGAGGAGGCCAAGGAGAUGCCUUGUAAGCAUAAGUUCCACAGGGAGUGUAUCGUGCCGUGGCUCGAGACGCAUUGUUCUUGCCCUCUUUGUCGGUUUGAGAUGCCUGCAGAUGACCUGGAGGAUUCGAACAAAAGCGAUGGCAUUGACGGUGAUGGAGUCGAAGUCGACGGUGAUAGUGGCAGAAGAGAGAGCAGACGUAAUGUGAGGUUUGCAUUCGUCCGCUCAUUGUGGUCUCAUGGCUACGGAAACUCUUACUGGAACGGAAGUGACGGCGGUGGUGGUGAUGAUCAAGUGGAAGGUGACGAUGAUAACGAUAAUGACGGUGAUAGUGGUAGAAGAGAGAGCAGACGUAAUGCGAGGUUUGCAUUCUUCCCCUCGUUGUGGUCUCAUGGCUACGGAAACUCUUACCGGAGUGGAAGUGACGGCGGCGGUGGUGAUGAUAGAGUGGAAGACAACGAUGAUGACGAUGAUGACGGUGUCGGUGGUGGUGAUGGCAGAAGAAUAGAGAGAGUACGCAAGGGGGGGCAAGGAUUCGUGUCGUACGUCCCCUGGCGUUCUCCUCUUUUCUCGUGGUGUCGAAGCAACGAGAGCUUUUAUCCGACAAGACGAUCUUUUUCGUCUACUCCUCGAGGUAACUCUCUCACUAGCCUCAUAUGAUUUGAAACUACUUGUUCAUUUCUCUUGUUUGCCAAAGCUAAGUCCCAAGUAAGAGCAGGAGUAAGAACCAAAGUAUUACAAUCAACACCUAAAUCCGGAUUCCUACUAAUAUUCCUUCAAACUUUGGAUUGAAGUUUUCACCCAAAACUUGAGACCAAAAUCAAAGCAAUUUCCAUGGAAGUGGUCUUUAUUAGUAGAUCUGAUUUUGAUACUAACACAUAGAUUCAUUAAACUUAACCACUAUUUACUGACUAAAUUUGACCGGAUCCAAUAAAUCUGAUCUCUCCCAUUUAAAGACGGAAGGUAAAUCACUUUUCGUUUUAUAUACCCCACAUGAGUAGUUACAUUUUGGCAAGAGAUUUUUUUUAUUAUUUUCUAUUAGUAGUCAGUCUUUUUUUUUUUUUUAAGCGUUUACACCUGAAUUAUGGCAUUUAUGAAAGGGCAUUUUUCAGGCAAGUUUUCCUUGGAUGCAACAAAGGGCUUUCCAUGCAGAAUUAUUCCUAGUGUUUUCCAAGGAAUGCACUCAAAGAAGGUAAAUCAUGCACAUUUUUGGGAACAUUUGAUUUCCUUUGGUUGUACUGUAUCAAUGAUCAAAGAUAAUGAAGGACUCUGUAACCUAUUGAGGGUAUUCCUCUUCAUUCUAUAACUUGUACAUUGUUCUAAAACAAAUCGGAGUUAUUUAAUGAUUUUUGCAUUGCAAAAUAGUGCAUUAGUGCCUGUUUGGGCUUCAAUAGCAUUGCAGAGCAGGGUUCUAGUGCCUAUAUGGGAUUCAGUAAAAGUUCCUCUUUUUCGGAAAGCAAUAACUAAAUGCUUGGCAAAUAAAAACUCUAGAGUUUUUGUUACGAUAGAAUGCCAAAAUAAAAUUCAAAAGAGCAAUAAAUAAAGGUAAAAGUAAAAGCUUCAAUUUAAAGCUUCUGCUUCUACUAGCACAAAACUCUUAUAAAAGUUGUUAUUUUUCCGAGCAAAUAUAUCUGUCAUACAUCACAAAUAUUUUGCUAUAAUAUCGCCCUGACUUUCUGAUCCAUUUUCACAUCACUUAUUUUGCAUUAACUAACGAAAAUAUGAAGUGAUUUCUAUAACCUACUGACACGAAUUUACAUGUUAAUUGUUCAGCUUGGUGGCUUCCAUGAGCUUGAUGAAUAUAACACACUGGCCAUGAGGACUAGUGGAAAUGAAAGAUGCUACAAAUUAAAUGUGAGUUUCUCACUUUUGAGUUGAAUAAUUUUUGGACUGAUUUCUUAUCUGGCUUUUACUUCCUUGCAGUUUGAUAGAUGUUAGGUUUUUCCCUGUGCAGAUGUACAAUGAGAAUUGGGUUAAUCCAUCUGGAAAGAUGGGAGAUAGUUUGUGGCGAGAUUCUGCGUUCGCAACAAAGGAAACUGAUCAAAGUUCUAGUUUCUGAUACUAUGUAGGUGCUAUAAAUAAAGGGAUGUGUGCUUUUGAUUAUAUGUAUUUCUAAUGAAAAGGGUGAGACUACAUUGGCUGCUGUGUACUCUCAGUACCAUGAAUGCAAGGUGUGCUUGUUGUGUGUUCUGUAAUUUGUUUCAGAGGUAUUUGUAUUGUUUACAGUUGCAUAAACUUUACAAGCAUGUGUGCUGCCUUUUGUGUUUUCUUCUGAGUUGGUUUUUCUGUUUUAAUCCUCUUUUUUUGUGAAAAAUUUAUAGAUUUUUGUUCCCCUCCCCCCUCCCACAUAUCAAGGAAUUUAUACUUGCUAACAAAAAAAAAAAGAAAAAACAUCCUUUCCACUCUUAUACCCAAUAUCUUCUUACUCUGAUCCUAAUGAUUUAGCGCAUUUUUACUUUGUCACUCUAUGUUUAAAAUAUUUCAUUUUACUAUCAAGUAUUUUUAUUCUUGUUUCACCAUAAGGAUCUGCAGCUAGUAAGGGUAGCAAAUUGUUAUGAUUUGUAAAAUAUUGUAUUAUACUACCUAGUGGUUUGUACAAUAUAACAUUUUACAAUCCUAUAGUUCAUAAGUUAUAUCAUUUGAGUAUUCCAUUUAAUAGUUGAUCCUUUCGGUGAUACGAAGACAAAACGACAAGGUAGAAAAGUAAAACUAUCCAGAGUAGAAGGUGGCAAACUGAAAAUGCACUGCACCUUACUCUAAUUGUUCUAAGGUACACCACAGUCGAUCAUAAAAAAUGCCAAAUAUUCGAUUCAAUCAUGUCAAAACCAUCUAAUUAUCGUUAACACAGAGAUAUGCUCAACAAAUUACAUGCAAUGUAUGUCGCAUUGUGUAUCACCACAUCCAUUACAAUGGCAAUCAGAGUAAAGAGUUGCAAAACACAUAGAAGACAAGAAGAUAACCAACUAUAGAUUUCCAUAAAGAUUAAAAGCAUAAGCAUAACAAACUGAAAGUACUUAUUGUUGAAAACACCACCAAAAUGAGAAGAUUCGAGGAAUACAGAUUUCCUAUCUUCAAAACAAAAAUAGUGUGUGAAAUGCCAUUUCACAAGCAAAAAUAGGAAAUCUACUACAGAAAUAAUUAAAAUAAAACAUAUAGAGAUGAACCUCCCAAAAUUGUCCCCAUAAGAAACUCCUUGGGUAAAUCACUUCGUCACUUGGCCGUCAGGAUCUUGAUCACAGAAGCAAUCCCAAUCCUAUGAAGGGCCACGAUCGAGUCUCCAGGUUUACAGAGCCCCAGACCCUUCGCAUGCUGAAUCGCGAAGUCAAGUGCUUCUUCCGUGGCCUCUGUAUCAGAAGCCUUUGCGGUCGCGGCACUCAAUGUCGGUAUUACCCCUCUCACAAUAAGGCUAUGCCUCGCUGGUGCCUCAUCGCUACAAGUCCAGUCAAAAAAGUCCGUCUUUAAUUCAGGUACCACCACCGACAAUAUCGGCAUGGCAGGCCUAUAUUUAGCCACUAAUUUAGCAGUAGUCCCUCCCCUAGUCAAAACUAGUAUAAGCGAAGCUUUUGCUGAGUUGGCAGUUCGAACAGCUGACGAGGCAAGGCUCUCUAGUGGGCUCAUGGGUACGGGCGCAGAUGCCAUGAUAUGUUUAAAAACCGACCCAUAAUCCACGUAGGAUUCUGCUUGUAAGCAUAUCUUGGCCAUCGUUUGGACUGCCAAUUCUGGGUAGGCACCAGCAGCAGUUUCUCCGCUCAGCAUCACGCAAUCAGUGCCGUCCAAUACAGCGUUAGCUACGUCAGUUGCCUCAGCACGGGUUGGGCGGGGUGACUUGAUCAUGGAUUCCAACAUUUGCGUUGCUGUCACCACCGGCUUUCCUUGGAUGUUGCAUUUGAAUAUCAUCACUUUUUGGGCGUAGAAGAUCUUUUCGAUCGGGAUUUCCAUGCCUAAAUCUCCUCGUGCCACCAUGAAGGCGUCGGAGUUUGCCAGUAUGUCAUCAAAGUUAGCUACUCCCUCUUGAUUCUCAACCUGCAAAAGAUUGAAUUGAAUGUUUAACAUGACUCAAAAUGUGAGCAAGAUCAAGUAAUAAAAGCUGGGUUGAUUGCAGCAAGGCCCACAUCUUUUAGGAAUUUUUCACUCGUCCCCCGACCUUUCAAUUGUUAACAAUUUCCACAUUACAAUCAAGUCUCUGUUUCGGUCCAAUUUGAUGGAGCAAUUUCACCAAAAGAGUAAGUCAACAACAUGCAAGCUCAGGAACCUGCUUACAGUUACAACAACUGAAAGGCUGGGGACCCAAACGAAACUGCACUAAAAGGUUGACAACCCAUUGUGCAAUUUACACAAAAUGAAUUCACUGAGGUUACUUGACUAACCUUGGACAUCAACAUGAUUGACUUGGCAUGUUCUCCGAGCACCUUCCUAACUUCCACCAGAUCAGAACCUUUGCGUACAAAGGACAAAGCAAUCAUAUCAAUCUUAUUCGGAACACCCCAUUGUAAAAUGUCCUCCUUGUCCUUCUCUGUUAGUGUAGGGAGAUCAACAAUAACACCAGGAAGAUUCACAUUCUUCCUCUCACCAAGUAAAGCAGAGUUUUCGCAUCGGCAUCGGACCAAGCCUUGUUCCUUAUCACAAGAAAGGACGGUCAGUGAUAUGGUCCCAUCGGCACAGAGAAUGACACUGCCUGGCUUUAGAUCAUCUGCUAACUUUUUAUAGCUCAUUGAUAUCAUGUUCUCGUCACCCUUAAUGGUGUAAUCCGUGGAGAUAGUGAUUUCUUGGCCUUGUUUUAACUGGAUAGGUUUGCCAUCUUUCAAAAAGCCAGUUCGGAUCUCUGGACCCUGUGAAUAAUUAGAUAGGUCAAUCCAUCUGUUGAUUUUGUAUUAAUGAGAUGAUGAAUCUCACAUUUAAAUUAUGUAGAAUAGAACUAGUAUUCUGCUUUAGCAUUUUCUGCCUUUAUUAAUUGCUUUAGAAGAGUCAAAAAUAACAGACAAAAAGAAAUGGUAAGCAGGGAUGGCAACUGGGAUUUCCACGUCCUUCAUUUCUAUAUAUGGAAUCAAGUGUUUGCAUUCCUUUUCGCAAGGAUUUAAGUGCCGUGGUACGGAGUCGUGCUGGAAACUUACCGGCACGGUACGGUGCGUGCCUGGCCGUGCCGAUGAGUGCCAGUCAAAAAAAAAAAUUAUGUGUGCCAACAUGUAAUGGCCUGAAAUAUUUAUUUUUUUUAGCAACAAAAUAUGCCAAUUAUUUAUUACAUAUUUUUAUCAAAUCUUUUGAACUUUAUUAAGAAAAUUACUUACUAAUUUUGAGAAUAGAGGAUUUUGAGUUGUGCCAUCAACACGGAGGCUAUAUCGUACCGAUACGAUAUCUUGUUGGCACGAUACGACACGGUAGAUACGGCCUGUACCGAUGGGCACUUGAAUCCUUGCCUUUUCGAUUCUCAAGAAUAUUUUUACUUAAUUAGGAUCCUUCUUGCGGACAGAAAAUUAUGUUUCGGAAAAUUGUAGAAGGCAACAAUAUUAGGCAGGUGGCUAAAAUAGCACCUAGGGGUUCAUUUGGGUGCAUAUGGUAGACAUGUUUGGUAUAGCAUAGACAUAGUAGUAAAUUAAGAAUAUUGAGGUCCAAAAGAAAAAGGGAACUUCCAAAGACAUGCAUUGAGGACAUUGAAACAUACUAUGCAUUUGAAAGUAAGCUAAUAACCAAAAGGUAUCCAACUGAGAAAAUGAAUAACCAAAUUAAACUUAUAACAAUCUGCACACAAACUAUAAUAUCAAAGUGCUAACGAACAAAAACAUUUAAAAGCUUAACCCGCAAUAUUUACCCAAAAUAUGCUAUAGUAAGUAGCCUUCACAUGAACAUAUUACGCUUCACAUGCAGUCCAUGCAAGGCAAUCAGAAUAUGAUAUCAAAUGUAUAACUACAAACAUGAAUCCAUCACCACUAUCUAGCACAUUAUCACGGGUAAGUAUGAUAGGUCACAGAAUGAUAUAGAUGAACUAUAGGAUAAGACAAGCAAGCUAAUGAUAACCUAGAUAUUAGCUGUGCGGGGGAAUGAAAAAAAAAAAGGUCAUAUAAUCUAAACCUUAAUCACAAAAUAGUAUCGGUUGCUGUUAUAGUUGAAAAUAAAAAUAUUUCUCAAUCAAAUUUGCACAGGCACAUAUUAGUAGGAGAUAAAGUUUCUUUGCUAACCUACACAUGGAAAAAUAACAAUAGCCCUAAUCCAUAUACAAACACUCCUAAGCACUUUUGUUUUUUUAUGAUAGUGUUUCUAGGCUUUGCCUUGCAACAUAAGAAAUAUUUGGGUAUUAAAAGGAUGCAUUGAAAAGCAUAGAUGGAUACCAAAUGUAAAUACUUAUAUUGAGAAUUCAUGUUGAUUUUAAUUCUGUCCCACAUCACGUGUAAAAGUUUUUUCAUCGCAUGCAAAUAUGUGAUUAAAGUGUGAAAUUCAAAAUUACUCGAUCAAGCGAUAUCACCCUACAACAAGAUCAAAAUUUCUAUUUUACACAUUAUACCAAUUUUACUCUCAAAAUAAAAAACUUGACUACUAGCUGGUGAUUCAGAGUCACAUAAAUUCUCUGUUUUGCAAAUAGAAGUACAUAUAACAAGAUUCCGUAUUUAUAAAGCAUCAAAGCUAAUGCUAUCUGAGUAAUCUUAUAUAAGAAUCAUACAGCACCAUUAACAAGCAAUUUUCCAAAAUUUAUAUCGUCGACGGAGAAAAAACGUCACCUUCAUAGCAAAUAUCAUAUUAAAAAAAAUUUCUAAAUAACUAGCCAAACUAUGGAUCCUAUUUAUGGCAGUUGAAGAUAAUCACAUAACCGUCCCACCAAAUUAAGCCGCAAAUUCUCCAAAAAUAUCAAGAUCAUACCUAAAUUUGACCAGGAAAUUCAAAUAAAACACAAUAUUAAGUAGAAAUCCCUUUACGCGCUAAAUAAAACGACAAAAAGCAACAAGAACAAGAUUAACGUAGAAAAUUAACAAAACCCGUAUCAGAUCCGGUCAUAAUUACGCCAACAAACCGAAGAUUUUACACAAAUCAAACAUUACACAACAGCAAAAAAAAAAAAAAAAAAAAAAAAAAAAAAAGAAGAAGGAUUACAAGGGCGCAAAAGAAGGGGAGAGCAUCUUGAUCCUCACCUUGGUGUCCAACAUGACGGCGCAGAGGAUCCCGGUGUUGUCCAUGGCGGCGCGGAGGUUGUCUAGGGUUUCCUGGUGGUAGGCGUGGGAUCCGUGGGAGAAGUUGAAGCGCGCGACGUUCAUCCCGGCCCUCAGGAGCUUCUCGGCCAUCUCCACCGACCUCGACGCCGGGCCCAGCGUGCACACGAUCUUCGUCUUCGGCCUCCUCCACGCCCCCUCCGUCGCCCCCUCCGUCGCCAUUGCCGAUCCCUCCCCGAAACCCUAACCGUAACCCUAGCAACAAAACCCUAGAGAGAGAGAGAGAGAGAGAGAAAAGAGAGGAGAGAGAAAGCUAUGUUUUUGGUCGAUCGAUCGACGAAUCGAGCUUACAUGGAGAAAAACGAAGCCGCGACGUUGUUAUAUAAAUAUUAGAGAACUGGGGAGGUGGGGAGGUGCGGUACGAUGUUCCUGCGGAGCACGUUAAGGAGUGGGAGGGGUUAUUUUGUAAAUAUGCUUAAGUACGUGGGGAACUGCGAAAGUUUACUUGUAGGACAAGUUUGACUUCUCAUUACACUAGGAGAAAUUUUUUGAUUUCUUUUUUGUUUUUUGUUUUUGACUAAAAUACAUAUAGAAAAUCUCGUUCUAAAUGUCCAAUUUUUUAUUUUUUUUCAUACUUUUAAAAAUCUAUAUUUUGUCCUUUUAAAAUUUUAAAAAUAUUUUCAGAAGAAUGCGGUGGUAAUCGAGAAGGUAAAAUGACCAAAUUAUCCUUACUUUUUCUAUAAAAAAAUAAUUUUUUAAUAUAUUUUUAUUAUUUUAAAAAAUAUUUUCAGUACAAAUAAAGUUCUUUUGAUCACGAAAUUGUUCUAUUUCAAUUUCAAAUUCACAAUAAUUUUUUAUUUUUAUUCUAAUUAAUUAUUAACACAUCAAUUAAUAAAUAAAAAAUUCCUCGUAGAAUUGUUAAGAGAAAAAUUAUUCCACUUCAAUUUUCAAAUCUUUAAAAAGGUAUAGUAUGAUCAAUAAUAAAUCUGAAUGCAUAUAUCACAUAAUGACAAAAUGUAUCAUUUGAAUACAUAUCUAAUUCAAUCAAUUAAAUAUCACUUACAAAAUUUAAUCAUAUAUCUUUAUAUAUAUUCCUAUAAAUAUUUCACCUAAAUUACAUGAAAUUGAACUAUGAAUCUUUUUAUAUAUAAAUUAUUUUAUUUAAUAAAAAAUUAUAAGUGCAAUUUGUUUAUACUAAAAAAAAUUGGGUAAACUUCAAAUACCAUCCAUUUGGUUUCGCACUUUCUCACCUUAGUACCCUGUGAUUUAAAAUGUAUUAAUUUGGUUCCUUAUGAUUUUAUUUUCUCUUUUUGUCAUCUCCUUCGUUAAUUUUUUGUUAAAUCACAUAGAAAAAACUUCAUAUACGCUUCCUAUAGUUUAUCAAAUAUUCACUUUAGUACACUUUAAUUUUAACUUUGUUAUUAAUUUAACGAAAAACAUUAGUAAAUUGGAUAACAAAAAGAAAAAAAUAAGACCACAUAGUAUGAAACUGAUACAUUUAAACUAUAGGAUGCUAAAGUGAGAAAGUGAGAAAUCACAGGGGUGGUAUUUGAAGUUUUUCUCAAAAAUUUUAAAUAGAACUUUUCUUAUUUAAUUUUGUAUUUUAUAUUUUUUUUGGGAAUAAAAUUUUUAUGUAUUUGUAGAAAGGAAUAGGGUGUUCCUGCGGAGUAUUUAAAAGGGUUUGUAGGAGAGUGUGGACCACAAUGUAAAAUCGUCCGUAUAAUUUUUUGAAUGCGACUUUCCAAGAAGAAACUUCUAUUUUGGCUUUUUUUUUUUCUUUUUUCUUUUUUUUUUGCCUUUUCCUGGUGAAAUGGAAGUUUGCAGUUUGUUUUUAUUGCAACCUUAUUUUUUUCGAAAAAUUAUUAUAUAUAUGAUCAUUUUUUUCCAAUUGUUUGUGCAAAAUUCAAUUUAAUUUGUAAUAUUCAAAUUGAAUAUUCCACCAGUUGAAUUUAUAUAAAAUUAUAGAGAUAAUUGCCUAUAUACUCUUCAUGCGUUCGGAAAUAUCCGAUCUACUCCUACUUCUUUUUUUUUUUCUAAAAUACCGCUCAUAUGUUCCACCGUUAUUCCAAAAUACCCCCGCAGUUAUCCCUGUUAAACAUGGGUUAAAUGUAUACUAUAGUUAAAACCUAAACAAAAUACCUAUUUUGCCCCUACCUUAUUAUACUAAUCCCUAAGAUUAUCCUCUCUUUCUUUCCCAAAUUGGUCGUCACCACCGGCUGGCUCCUCCACCACCACCGGCCGGCUCCUCCGCCUCCAUCUCGCCUCAUCUCCUCCUAGACCACCACCACCACCUCCCACACCUCCACCUCCAACACCACCCCUCCCGUCGCUCUCGUCGUCCUCCUCCACCGCCGCUCUCGUCGCCGUCAUUUUCCUCCUCGGCCGCCUUGGCCGGCGCCGGGACCAAGAGGGCUGCAGCGCCAUCGGACCCUUGCAAGCUCUCCGCUCCGGAUCUGGCUGAAGGGCAAAUAAAAAAAGUAUUUGCUAUAUGAAGGGUAUAUAAAAAAAGUUUGUUACAGUACAAGGGUAUAUUAGAAUGGACAAAAUGGUAAUUUUUCAGAGAUAACGGCUCACUAACAGAACUUAACUCCUGGAGUAUUUUAGAAAAAUUUGGAACAUAAGAAGGGUAUUUUCAAUAUUAGCCUUCUAAGAGGGGUAAAUAAGAAAAUCGGAAACUUUUCAGGGGUAUAUAGGCAAUUGCCCCUAAAUUAUAUUUGAAUUCACGCCCUUUUGUUAAAUGUUCUAUUUCGUAAUUUUUCCCCACUAUUUAAUUCUAUAACACAAGUAAUGCGGCAAACUCUUGAAAUAAAUAAUUUGCGCUUAAUUUUGGACCCUCGAUUGUUUGUAUUCUAUGAAAGUAUUACUAUUUGAUAAAAUGUUACUUGCGUGUAAGAAAAAGUAUUAUUAUUAAAUUCAACUCUUAAAUGAAGGAAAUUGAAUCGAUAUAUCUUUCUACAUUCCUCCGCGUAGCAAAAGAAGAAACUAUCAUCGUAAAAUUUAUAUUAUUAAAGUACGCUCAUUAAAUCUGAUCUGUUUAUCACUACAUACCUACUGUAGGUGCACUUUUUCAAAUUGAGAUAAGUGAAUUUGCAUCAUAAAUGUGCAUACUCUCUGCUGAGAUAUGAUACUAACGUUGUAAAAUUUAUUAUUAAAAGUAGAUAUAUUGAAUUUGAUCAAGUUCUAUGGUGCCAGAUUUCUAUAUAUGUAUUGAUUUAUGCCUGCUUAAUAUGUUGGGCUUUCCUAACUUUAAAAGCAACAGGUGUAGCAUUUUUUUAUUUUUAUUUUUUGGUUGGAAAAAUAAUUCUUGUGAGGCAAACAACCAAUUAGAAAAACAAAUGAAAGGUUUUGAAAAGUGAGACAUUGUUUAAGUAAGAGCCCACAAGAAUGGGCAUGACAAGUGUCAAAGUAAGCAUUUAUUUUGUGGAAUGGAAUGCAUCUAGAAGGGUCAUGCACCAUUUCACAUUGCCACCUCAUUAAUAGAGGCAACAACAACAAUAAUAAUAAUAAUAAAAAUAAUAACCAAAAAUAAGAGCAAAAUGUGCAAUUUAUUUAAUCUACUAUUUCAAUAUUGCGAAUUGGAUUCUAUUAUAUUUUAAUCUGUUAAAAAAUAUGUUAUAAGAAUCAAAUUACAAUAUCUUAAUAGUACACAAUUUAUGGACCUUGAUCUUAGGGGGUUAUGUGUUUGCAUUUUUUGUAUGAGUAGAACUAGUGUGCUAUUAGGAGCACGGGGGUCUCCGUACUUUUAAGCUGUUUUUUAUGAUGGAACUUUCGAAUCGACGAUCGGCUCCGUUAGACUUGAUUUAGUGUACGUAUUUGAACUAGAUGAAAUAUAAAUUUUACGAUUUUUCGAUAUCAUUUAUCUAGUAAUCGAAAGGAUUCAAAAUCAACAGUUGAAAAUUAAAAUCUCACAAAAAAUUAUGACGUAGUACUAAAAUUUUCGAUCACAGAUAUUGAUCUUAUUGUAGAUAUUAUAAAAAAAAUUUUCUAUCAAAAAUUUAUCUGGUUUAGAUGCUUCUACACCGUUAAACUUGUAAACGGUAUAUAUCAGCCAUUAAAAAUUAUUGAUUUUGAAUUCUUUUGAUUAUUAAGUAAAUGAUAUCGAAAAUUAGCAAAAAAUUAUUUUUUAAAUAUUUUAAAUACGCUAAAUUAAAUCUAACAAAAUCAAACGUAGUUUCAAAAGUUUCAUCAUCAAAAGUGAUUUAGAAGCAUUGAACAUUGAAAUCUUCGUGCUUCUAACAGUAAACAAGUCCUGCUCCUUUUCUCAAAUAAGGUGUACUCAUAUUUGAUCAAAAAAUAAAAAAAAAUCAAAAUAGUACAAGACUAUUAAUGCAUUGUACCCUAACAUAAGCAAAUCUAGGUGUACUCAUAUUUGAUCAAAAAAUAAAAAAAAAAAUCAAAAUAGUACACGACUAUUAAUGCAUUGUACCCUAACAAAAGCAAAUCUAUGGUACCCACAGCAUUUGUUUUCCUUGCUUUUUCUCCAAGCCAAAAACAAAAACAACAACGACAACAAUAAUUGUAUUUUCCCACGGAUUAAACCAAAACCUUGGGAGAUAAGUUGGUGUCCGUACACCUGAGAGUUGCUUCUUGAUCCAUCAUUUUGACCAUUGACUCCUCCUUUUGAGGAAGGGUUCUUCAAUUGUCUCUGUUUUUUAUUAAAUUUUUUUCCCUACCUUUUAUGUCUUAUUUCUGUUAGAUCUCGAUCAUCAAAAUUUUUAUUAAUUUUGAUAAAGUAGAUUACGUUUGCUCGAAUAGAUUAUAUAUAAUUUUAAAGUAUUUUAAAAAAAAUUUAAUGACCCAAGUUCGAAUCCUAGUUGAUUCAUAUUUUCAGCUAAAUUUAUUUCUAAAUUAAAAUAAACGAAGCAUAUCUCUUAAAAAAAAAAAAAAGAAUAGUAAAUAUGCUAUAAAAGGCAUAGGCAUCAUUUGUGAGAAUUUUUUUUUAUUUAAAAAGGUAAAGUUUGGGAACAAUAAGCGCAAAUUAAGCUGGUUUUUUUUUUUUUUUUUUUUCUAAUUUGGAUGGUUCUUAGUAGGGAGGGAGUUUAUUCUGGGAAUAUUUAUUUUAUUCUAGAAGGAAGUGGAAUAUAGAGGAGACAAAAAAAAACUUAAAAAGGGCACAAUUACAAUUAGUGGGAGGAGAGGGUGUGGAAAUCCAAUAAGAAAAUAGAUAGCAUAAGCACAUGGUGAGAACGCCAACGCACACGGUUCCAUGCCCUAAUAAACAAUAAAAAGUGGAGCACACAUAUUUGUAUUUUUUUUUAAGAAAAAAUAUAUAUAUAUAUAUAUAUAUUAAUAUAUAUAUAUAGUGAGGCUACUAUGCUAUCGGAAGCACACGGAGCCUUCCGUGCUUCCAGCUCGUUUUCGAUGUUGCGACUUUCGAAUCGUCGAUCGGCUCCGUUAAACUUGAUCUAGAGUAUUUGGAGUACCUAGAAAAUAAAUUUUAUUAUUUUUCGAUAUCAUUUGCCUAGUGAUCGAAUGGGCUCAAAAUCAACAAAUUUCAAUGGCCGUAGUGAGCCGUUUGCAAGUUUAAUGGUGUAGAAAUAUCCAAAUCACGUGAAAUUUUGAUAGAAAAUUCUUUAUACUAUAUAAAACAAGAUCAAUAUCUUUGAUUUAAAAUUUUAAUGUCAUAUUAUUACAUUUUGUAAGAUUUUUAUUUUCAGCCGUUGAUUUUGAGCCCCUUCAUUCACUAGGCAAAUGAUAUCGUAAAAUCAUAAAAUUUAUUUUCUAGGUCCUUCAAAUACUCUAGAUUAAGUUUAACGGAGCCGAUCGACGAUUCAAAAGUCGCAACAUCGAAAACGAGCUGGAAGCACGGAAGGCUCCGUGCUUCCGAUAGCAUAGUAGCCUCAAAAAACCCUCCUGUGGUUUCGUAGUUUCUUACUUUGCCCUCCUGUGGUUUAAAAUGUAUCAAUUUGCCUUCUUGUGGAUUCUUUUUUCUCUUUUUCUUAUCAAUUUUAUUAUUUUUUUUCUUCAAUCAGUGAUAAAGUUAAAAUAAAAGGGUACUAAAGUGAAUAUUUGAUAAAUUUAGAUGAGUAUUUGAAGUUUUUUGUAUAUAAUUUAAUAAAAUAUUAACGAAAAAGCUACCGAAAAGAUAAAAACCAAACCACGUGGGGGAAAGUUGAAACAUUUUAAACCACUAGGGGACAAAGUGAGAAACUACGAAACCACAGGGGGUUUUUUUGAAGUUUUCCCUUAAGUUUUUACAGGAGAAUUUUGUUGUGGCUUUUUAGAAUAUAUUAAAAAAUUAUUAAGUUCGGUACGAAGGAUACAGUAACAAACUAUUUUACUUCUGCAAUGGCUCUCAGCUUCCUACAUUUGAAGAUAAAUCAGUUUUCUAAAUACGAUAAAAUGUAUAGCUCUAAAAUAUUGAACCACUCAUUAUUAUAUGUGUAAACUGACUUAUUAAUUAUAUUUUAGAUAUCUUUUAAAGCGUACCAGCAUCAUUACUCGUCAGAAAAAAAAAAAAAAAAAGGAUUUUUUGACUUUCGCUAAAACCAAACUUGACCCAACCCAAACUUUUCAAAGUCCAUAGCCCAAGUGUGGGGACCGAAUAAUAAUAGAAAGGAGAGAAUGGACCUUUGAAUGGAUUCUCUGACUAAGUGAGAGAACCCUAAAUUGAGAAUCAAACUUACGUAAAUGCAACUGCACGCAAGGUUGAAGAAAAAUAGUGAUAGACUAUUAUUUGGUAUGUUGUAGUUGCAGUCAAAUAUUUUCUUUUUAUUUUUAUUAUUUUUAGAUAAAAAUAGCUUGCUAACUGUUUAGUUUAUUUUUUUUUUUAAAAUAAACUUAGUUAAAAAUAUGAAUCAACUAGGAUUUAAACUUGAGACUUCAAAUACCACAACCAUCAAACUCUUUGCCACUUGCUUUAGGAACGGUCGGUGUUGCAGUCAAAUGCUAUCAGAAUUUGAGACAAGGGACAAAGUGCUCAAAUUGGACACAAACAACACCCCUCACUACCUUUCAAAUUUUUUUCAAUUUGCCCUUCUAUUUUCAAAACACCAUUCUAAAUCCUAAAUCUCCUAAUAGAAAGCUCUAAAAUUUAGAGAAUAUUUGGAAAAAAAAAUGAAAAUAACAAAGUUAAUUUCAUCAAUAAUCAGAAGUAUAUUAGAUGUUUUUGAACCUUUGAAGGGUAUAUUAGAGAAUAUCUCAACUUGAAAGAAAAAAAAAAAGCACUCCCUCUGCUAGAUAUUACUAAACAUGUUGAAGGAAAAUAACUACUGCAUUUUUUCCAUUACAGGCAUCUCUAAUCAGAGCCGGACUCUAUAUAUAUGCUGUGUGAACUUCUAAUUAAGUUGUUACAAGUUUUCUAUAAUUAAUUGAUUGUAAAUUGCAAUAAUAAAUCUUUGCGCGUUUUACAUUGACGAUGAAGCAAAAUGCAUAAACUUCCUUUGUGUCGUCCCAUUUUUCUAUUAAUAGUCCUACAUCGGAUGAGAAUGAAAUUAUGAUUAGAAAUAUAUAGGAAUCAUUGACUCAUAAUAAUAAUAAUCAUGAUUAAAUAUUUUGGCCUCGUGAUUUGGUCUCAACGAUUUAUUAUUGCCAGUUGGGAAAGUCGUAAUAGUUAGUAUUAAAAUUAACAAUCACUAGCCAAAAAUGCGAGAUGAAUCUCUGCUAAUCCACAGCCUAAAAAUAACAUGUUAAAUUAAGGCCUGAAUGACAUGACUAGCCAGACAAGGUUAAAGCGGUGGAGGAUCUUAUAAUAAGCCCAAAACCUCUUAAUUCGAUUAUAACAUUUAGAUUAAAUUAGUUCUAAAACAAAUAACCCUCGUAUUAAGAUGAAAAUUAUAUGUUAGGGCCUGUUUGAUUGGCCGAAAGUAAAGCAUUAAAAAUAGCAUUUUUAAAAAGUGACGUCUUUAUCUAUUGUUUUAUAAAAGUCGCUUUACAAAGUGGGCUGAUAAAAUGAAACUAUAACUAAAUCUCACUUUCUUUUUACUUCGGCUCAAAAAAUUCAAAAUACAUCGAAAAUGGAGAGUUUAGCUAAGAAGAUAUAUUUGGUCUUACUUAAACUUUGAAUUUAUUUUUGAAGUUGAAUUUCACUUUGAAUUUGAUUAAAAUCAUGAUCACACUGUGAGUUUUAUUUUUAAAUUCAAAUUUAACAAAAAAUUUUUAAAUUCAAAGUGACUUUAUAUUUAACAUUAAAUAUUCAAAAUUUUAUUUUAUUUAAAAAUGAAUUAUAGAAUUUAAAUUCAGAUCACGUUCUUAAUUUCAUUUGUAAAUUCAAAUUCAACAUAAAAUUUUUAAAUUCAAUUAGUGACUUCAUAUUUAAAUAUUUAUUUCUAUUUAAAUUUGAAUUCUAAAAUUUAAAUUUAAUUUACAUUUAAACUUUGAAAUUUAAAUUUUAAUCAAAUUAUUUUUAGCUAAGAACUUCAAUUUGAACUUUGAAUUCAAAUUGUUCUAACUAUAAAUUUAAAUUAUUGACUGAAAUUUGAAUUUAAAAUUUAUGUUUUUAUGUUCAAAUUCAAAUUUGCUAUUUAUAUUUAAUUUCAAUAAUGAGUUUCAAUUUGAACCUUGAAUUCGAAUUAUGCAUUCAAGCGUUUAGUUAUUGUGAUUUAAACUCAAAUUUUAAUUUAAAUUUAGAUAUCAAUUCAAAUUGUGAAUUCAUAUUUGAAUUCAAAAUUUUAAGAUGAAAAAGUAAAUUAAAAUAAGAUUCAAAUUAUAAAUUUAAAUUAUGAAUUCAAAUUUAAAUAAAUGUUCUAAUUUCUAUGUUGAACAUUUAUUUUAGAAUUUAAUUUUAGUUAUGAGUUAUAACAAACUUUAAAUUCAAAUUAUAUAUUUUAAUUUAAUUUUAGUUACGAGUUAUAACUAACUUUAAAUUCAAAUUAUAUAUUUUAAUUUAUGUCUUAAAUUUUAACUAUAAAUUCAGCUCAGUUUAAAUUUAAAUUUAAAUUUUAAAAUAAAGUUUUGAAUUCUAAAUUUAAAUUUUAAAUUUUAAUUUUAAUUACGAGUAUAAAUCGUCCAUUUAUAUUUUCACCUCUAUAAAAAUAAUUAAAAAAUUAAACUUACAAAACUUUAAUUUCAUAUUUCACUUUAUGACGAACCAAACAAUCAAACUGAAAAAAUCACUUUUGUAAAAACUCACUUUUACAAAAAUGACUUUUUUUAACUUCAGCCACUUUCAGAUAACUAAACAUACUCUUAGGCUUCGUUUGGGAUUGCGGGAAGAUUGCGUCACGUGCGGUGGGAAACGACGUUAAAAAAAUACCAUAUUUGUUUCCGUACGUAAUAUUGCGUUCCGCAUAUUGCGGUUAGUCGGUUACGAUAUAUUUUCUGCGGUCUCAUCGGAGAACGCAGAAACUUAUCCCUAUUUGCUUUUUUUCAACUCCAUUCUAUCUAAUAGCGUUAGAUAAACCUCAAUACCAAACUAAGCCUUAGACUUAGUUUGGUAUAGGCUUAGUUUGGUAUUAAGGUCUCUCUAACACUAUUAGAUAGAAUGGAAUUGAGAAAAAAGCAUAUAAAGAUAUGCUUCUGCGUUCUUCGGUGGGACUGCAGAAAAUAUAUCGUAACCGACUCAUCGCGAUAUGCAGAACGCAAUAUUAUGUACGAAAACAAACAGGGCAUUUUUCCAACGUACUUUCUCACCGCACGUAACGCAAUCUCCAUACAAUCCCAAAAGAAGCCUUAGAAAAGUAUUAUACUUGCAUAUAAAGAAAAGAAAACAAAUACUACAAAAGCGAGCAUUCCACGACAUUGUAAGAAAUUGACCAUUGCAAUAGUGAAAGUACUUGUCCUCGAAUGCUUUUUCAAAUGCUUUACAUGAAAAAAUAGAUCAACAUGUAUAACUCAGACAAUAAAUAAGCAUACGUAUAGCAUCACCAACAAUCAAUGUGACGGAUAUAAGUAAAAGCACGGCAAUCAGGGGAGGUUAUUCUGCAGCUAUGCGUCAAAAUACAAAUGUAAUAGGCUGAGAUACAAAAUUUUUGAUGAGGAAGUGGAAAAUAUGUUAUUAUAUUUGGUGCUCGCUUAGCACACUGCAUCUUUAUUCUUCAUUGUCUUCGGGAAGAGUUGAGAUUGAAUCUCUCGUCGGACGAUGCUUUUUGCGUUUGAGCUUCGGCAACGCCAUUAUCCAUGAAGGAACUUCGCAUCCUGAAGCUGCCAUCACAUUGGCUAUGUUCCGUAAAAAUGGUUUAUCCUCUUCAGUGUAGAACGUAAUUGCCUCCCCAGUUCUACCGGCUCUUCCCGACCGACCUAGAGGUAUAUAAAUAACAGGUAAAGUUAUUAUCUCUAUAAUAGUAUAAUAGCCGCUAUACAUAGACCAAAAUCUAUCCCUUGUGAAAACAUCAUUCUAAGUGGCCGAAAUCUAGGUUUAAAUUUCAAUUUUUGGUUCCUAUAGUUCCAAUAGUAGCAUUCUACUUGGUUAGAGUAACUCAGGCAUUAUAUUUCAAAUUGUAGUUCUUAUGGUUUCAAUAGUAGCACUUUACUUUGUGAAGUUCUUCCACAUAACAAUUAAGUCCAGCUAUUUUACCAUUCUAAAAAGUUGCCACAUCAACAACUUUAGAUUUUGGACAAAAAUGAAAUAGGGAGUCAAACUAUAUGAACUGAAUUUCUCAUAAUUUAAAUUUUCCGGGUAAAAUUUAGAAUGAAGCCAAACUUCACUGGCUAAAUUGUUACAAUUAUAACAAUAACACUACAAUAAUCACAUAUCGAAUAAUGUGGAAGAGUGUGAGAGUCUUAAAUAUGGCUAGCACUCUCUUACUAGCAACUGAAGUUUUAAGCAUUUUGAGCCAGUAGUUUGAACUCAGUAAAUUACUAGUGCUAGCAGCUAGGCUGUAACAUUUGGCAUCAUAGCAAGAUUGAUUGCCAACCAAAAGUGUAAAAUAAUUCUCACAUUGCAGGCAAUUUUGUACUGUGUACAAUUAGGCCUGACAAGGAUGUCAAAACCUAAAGCAUGGUGUGUCAAUUAGGCCUGACAAGGAUGUCAAAACCUAAAGCAUGGUGUGUGUGUGUGUGUGUGUGUGUGUGUGUGUGUGUGUGUGUGAGAGAGAGAGAGACUGUGUGUGGAUAACGUGGGAGAUGUGAGAGUCUUAUAUGUAGCACAGUGUUUGUGUGUGAGAGAGAGACUGUGUGUGGAUAACGUGGGAGAUGUGAGAGUCUUAUAUGUAGCACACUGAACUUCUGCAAAUUGCGGAGUUCUAGUGAAAGAAUAAUGCUUUUUACAAUUUUGAAGGAUUUGACUGAGUUUGGAGAGCCUAGCAGUGUUUUCGAGGCUUAUUAAGCGCGAAAAUGGACUCCGGAGAUCAAAUUAUGCAAAAGUGCAGUAUUUGUCAUGAGUACUGGUACUGGACAUAGGGUACCGGAAUUCAGUUGUGAAUUGGUUUGGACAGCUCUCGGGUUUUGCAGAACUCGACUCUGUGUACCGGUACUGGGCUGAGUAUCGGCACUGCAUUGGGCGAGUACUGGAACACAGUAGAAAACAGGAUUUUCCAGCGUUUGGGUUUUGCGAUACUGGACCUUUGGUACCGAAACUGACCACCGAGUACCGAUACCCCAACCCGCGUACCAAUACUCAAUGCUGCAGAAUCUGUUUUUGAGCAGGAUGCAAUUUCUGAGUUUUGAGGGGCCUUGGUGGAUAUUGCUACAUUAUGUAUAUGUACCCCUUCACCCCUCACUUGUUCUCAGUUGGCCGAGGAUGGAGAAGGAGAGAGGUGAGCUUCUCUCUCUUUUACUCUUGAAUUUCUUCUCCAAAGCCUUUAAUUUUUGGGUUUUGAUCUCUUUUUCUUCCUCUCCACCAUGAAUGCUUGCACCUUGGACCUUGGAAGGAGCUUGGAUUUGAUGAGAAGAGCUUGUUGGAGGACUACACUUCAACUCUAGCACUUCAUGGCUUAGUUUGGAGCUCUAAUUUAGGUUAGUGGUCUUUCUAUAACCUCUAAUCAUGAGUCUUGCAUGAGAUUUGGAGAAAACCUAGUUUUUAAGAAACUAGGGUUUGUUUUAGGACUUUUCUUUUGAAAGCUUUUUGGAUGGCAUUGAUGGGUGUAGAACACUCUUUUAUGUUGGAUUUGAAGCUUCUUGGCUUUGAUUUAGACUUUGGACAAGUGCUACUUGAUCAAGGUAAUUUUCACUUAUUUUUAUGCUUGAUUUUUGGUGAAUUUUGUGGUUAGCUUUUUAGAAGCUCAUAACCUUUUUGGAAUUUUUCUUAAGGUGCUAGAAGUCGUGUGGACAACUUCAAUCGGGAAAACGAUCAAUUUCGAAGGGUAUCUGGUGGGUUUGACCUCACCGAAAUAGCUGAAUUCCCCCUAUGUCUCCUAUAUUGUUAUAGGGUUGAAAUUGAUGCAUAUUCAUAUUAUUCAUGACAUGCUAAAAUUUUUGGAUGUAUGAUGCACAUAUGUAACAUUUGGAAAUUGACACUCUAUGUAGUAGAGGUAAUAUGACAUACUCUAUGUGGUAGGGCAUAUUGUGUCAUAUGUUGUAUCAAGUUCCUCUUAUACAAAAAUAUAGGAAUGCAUGUUAAAGAUAAAUUAUAAUAUCAUAUGAGACCUUAUAUAGCUAGCCGAAUUAUUGGAUUCCAAUUUGCAUAGCAAUCAAUGUACUUCUAUAGGUUAGGGUAAACAUGACAUUUGGCAUGUAAUGACAAGAUGUAGAGCUAUAUAUGUUACACUUAAUCUAGUGAACAACUAAGUUGAUAUCAUGGCAUUGGACUCAACCAAGGAUGAAGGUGCCGCCCCGUGCCGUACGGCACGGGACGUGCCGUAACCGUGCCCCCAAGAAGGGGGCACAGUACAGGGGGGGGUCUCGGACCCCCCCUGGGUGCCGCGGCACAUGCCGCGUGCCGCCCUAUUUUUUUUUUCUUUUUUUUUGGUUUUUUGGCUUCUUUUUUUUUUGUUCUCUGGGAUACAGAGCCCUCCCCCGGCCAUCUAUAUUGCCUUUUUUUCACUUUUCUUUUAUUUUUUUGAUAUUGUGUUGUCUUUUUGUCAACUUUUUUUUUUUUCUUUUUGGCUGGUGCCUUUUUUUUUUUUUUGCCUUUUGGCUUUUUCUUUUGACUUUUUCUUUUUUCUUUUGUUAAAUUAAAAAUUUAUAAUUUAACUUCUUAUUUAUCAAUAUAAAAGCAAAUUUUUAGUUGACAAAUUCGAUCCAUACCGCGGGGGACAAAGCCCCCCGCACCCCCCCUAUUGGCUCGAGCCCUCCGCUUCCACCACAGACAUCCAUUUUUUCUUCGCAAAUUAUUUUGUCAAAAUUUGUCGCACCGCGAAGUUUUCGAUGAAUCAGGAGAACAAAAAUCAAUCUCCUAAACAAAUUUUGAUCAGAUAUUUUUUAAAAGAAUAAAAAAAAAUAUAGAUGUAAUUGUGGUACUAUUCUGGUUGUUCUAAUUAUUAUAUACUUCCUAAUCGAAUCAAUAUAUAGAUUUUGAAACCUUUUUAGAAAAAAUAAAAUUUUCUGUCAUUUUAUCUGUUAUAAUUUUUUAAAUUCUAAAAAAAUUAUAAACAAAAGAAUUUUAAUUUCUAUUCUACAUCAAGUAUAGUUGUACUUUAUAUACAAAAUGCUUACAUGCAUGUUAAUUGAUGAGUAUAAUAAGCUAUACAUAGCAAAAAUUAAUAAUAAUUUGUCUAAAUCUUUCAAAAUAACAUUAUAAAAACUUAUUGGAACCACAAAAACUUAAAUAAAUCCAUGCCAAAGCGUGCCAGUAGGAGGUCGUGCGUAUCUGUCGGCACGCAAGCGUGCCACGUGUUGGCACGCAAGCGUGCCCGUGCCGUACCAUGUCAAGGACGUAACGGCACGCCCCCGUGCCACGGCACUUUAAACCUUGGACUCAACCUCUAGGUUGUUAUAUGAACUUCCAUGUUUUAGACAUGAUGAAAGAGUUUUCUACACAUUUGAGUGUAUAAAUGGCAAACGCAUAUACUUGCUUGAUUAAAUGAAAGGUGGUUGCUUGCACAACAAUUUUAUACCCCGUGUAGUGGAAGUCUAUGCAGUAAGGCAUAUGCAUGACACGCACUAUGAUUUCUAUGGACAUCCUUGUAAUUCAUUUGGAUAUAACAUUAGUAAAUGACUCUUCUUAUACUAUAUUGGUAUUAGAAUUGGUGAAACCCGUUAGAGUCUUGAAUGAAAUGUGGACUUUUACAAGUUGAGACACGUUGCAUAUUGGUAGAGUCCUACCAAGUUAAUUGAAAUGAAACAUGACCAUUAUGUAUAGUAUCCGACCUUGAGUCGAUGAUUGAGAUUUCAUGUUUUAGACAUGAUGAUUGUGAGAUGUGGCCCUUGGACAUGAUGUUUGUGAUAACGCUUGCUUGUCAUUGUGCUCACUCGCACAAGCUUGUGAGGGUCGCUCCCUACAAGCUAGCACUCUAGAGUUAGCCUUUGGAACGACUGAUCGCUCAUGUGGGAUUCGGCGCCGACAUGGAUUGUCGUGGGGAAGGCUCAUUCCUAGCAGGGGAAUGUUGACUACCACGGAGCCAUUAGGCACGGCAUAGGCUGGGACGUUAUCACGUGUAAAUCUCCCGUUAAUUGGGUAAAAUUUAAUUAAUCUUGUCAUUAAGAUGGACAUAUUAGUGGGCAUUUACCUUGUGACACAAGUUGAUGCAUACCUAGUAGAUGGACAUACUAGUGAAUGGUUACCUUGUGACACUACUUCAUGCAUUCAUAGUAGUUGGACAUUCAUGUUGGUCAUUGUUUGCAUUGACAACCUUGCUUAUGUUAAUUAGUAUAGAAAUGUAGCUUUAUGAUGACAAUAGCUAUUUGAUUAUAAUGAAAGACUUUCUCUUUAACUAUGGCUUAUAGCUUAAAGAUGGACAAGCAGGUAAAUUGCAUAUACACCACUUGUGCAUGUGAGGGUAGAAAGUUAUAUAUUCAUGUUAGUGAACAUAUCAUGUAGAGGCAUGUCUAUAAUUGAAUAUGUUCAAUUAAUUGUUGCACUUACGCUUACUACAUUUUAUACUAUAUUCAUGCCUCAGUUGACCUAGUGGUGUAUUUCGCCACUCUCGGCAGCUUACCCACUGGGAACUAUUGUUUAAUAGUUCUCACCUCCAUUGGUUGAUUAUUUUUGUUUCAGAGCCUUCCGCAGCGGGAGAGGCUAGGGUUCGUGACAAGGGGUUAGUGACUAGCUAGAGCCUCCUCAGUGCCGCUAUCGAUGGACCCGUAGACGUCUUUCUUUUAGUUUAGUUGAAAGGUAUAUAAUUAUAUUUUAUUCGAGAUUUCUUAGUAUUCAAAAUGUACCUUUUGUUCGACUUGUUGUAUAUCUUGUAUCAUGUAUGUGUAGUAGAAUUAUAUUCUCGCUCUGAUUACCGUGUUUAGGAUUGAUUCCUACUUCUUUCUAUGAUCGUUGUAGACGCCUUGUGUACACCGGGGGUGCUUGGUGUACAACGGCGGGUCUGUGCACAAGCCCGGUGAGCUUCCGCUGGAAUCAAGUGCGUGACACUUAUAUAUGGCUAUCAUUGUAUUAACAACAGGGCUUAAGUACUAUUGGCCGACAAUUUUGGCCGAACAAGUUGUUAGUAGUAGUGGCUCGGUCAUUACAAAACCUUGAGGACAAACUAUGAAUCAAGGUAAAACUUCAGUCACUAAAUUUGUAUUUGAUCCUUAAAUCUAACUCUUUAUAGAAAAAUGACCUUGGGAUUUCUAAUAACAAAAAUAACUUUAUGAAGACUGAUCAAGCCUACCAUUAUGCGUAACCACCAGUCACAAUCAUAUCAAGGGUCUAACUGGCUAAACAUCCCUAGGCGGUAUAAUGAUGGAAGAGCAUAAGGAUUAUGAGUCACAUUGCAUACCUAUCCGGUGAAUAUAAGCCGCAGCUGACUCGGGAAAAUCGUAGUUUAUAACACAAUUGAUGCCCUUAAAGUCCAUGCCACGUGAAAUGACAUCAGUUGCUAUCAGAACCCACGUCGUUCCUGCUCUAAAGUUGUCGACAGCAUCUUCUCGCUUAGUAAAUAAAACAAUAAAUUCAUGGAAAGAAGUUAGCAUAAUUAUCCAGCAGUGAUAUUUUCAACUCGAAAAAAUGCUGAUCAAAUAUACCGUUAAGUCAUCAUACAAAAUAAAAUACCAGCUAACAUUAAAUUAGAGUCUAUUGAAGAAUCUGAAAUUAGAAAACAUCAAAUAUCAACACGGUGGAUACGGCAUGUGCCGAUGGGCACUUUAAUCCGUGCUGCUUAGUUCCACAUAGAUCGUCACAGUGGAUUAUAUAGCAUAUUGUCAUUUACAGAUACAAGAUUUAUUUGACAAUUUUGGUACAGAUGUUGUUAAUAUUAUCAAAUUAAAUUGGCUAUAUAAUCUACUAUAACCAACUAUAUAUUCUAAUAUAUCUAAUAAUACUAAAUCAAAAUUAUUUUAUAUUUAUGCUAAUUUACAAAUUCUAAUUGGAAUAGAAGAGCUUAAGUAAUUCUAGAUUAUAUUAGUUUGUUCAUAAGAUUAGAAUAGACUAAAUUAGAUUAGGAACUUAAAUAUAAAAUAUAGAUUAAAUUAGAUUCGAUAUCAGAGUACAUUAAAUAAGGUAAUUUUAGAUUAGAAUUUUUAAACUAGGUUAGAUUAAUUUAGGUAAUUUGGAAUUACGUAAAUCGAAUUUAGUUAGUUAUAUUCUAUUAUUUUUAAUACUGUAAUAGACAAUUCUAGAUUAGAUUUGAUAACAAAUCACAAAAAAAAUAAAAAAUCAGCACAAUACUGUGUCGGAUACUCCAGCGGGUAUCGUGUUGUCUCAUGCGAUACCCACUGGGUAUCGUGGCAUGGGGGUCCUGCAAGAACACCCCCCCCUACCGUGCCCCUAUCUUGGGGGCACAAUACGGCACGGGACAACACUUGAAACCCUAAUUGUACCCUUUUCAAAUAUAUAUAUAAAAAAACUAGAAUGAAGAACUUAGGAACUAAGUUAAUAGGGGCAGCAUAAGAAAUUAACAGGUGAGGGGACAAAAAUGAUCAUCAAAGUACCUAGAGGGGGACACAUUUGAAAAGGUAGUGUGUUCUUUAACUAGAUAUUGGUAAAUUCAAGUGGUCAAAUAAUAAAUAUUAGAGGCAUUUUUGCACAGAUAUAAUCAACUCCGGGAUAUGCUUUAAAAUGUAAUUUUUCUUUUUAUAAAUAGUACCUGCUGCUGAGUGAGGUCCGCAUGAAUCACAUCAGCUUUAAUGUCAUCAAAUGCUAACUCCUUGUACAGUUCCUUUGCUCUUUCUUUGCUUUGAACAAACACCAAUACUGGAGGAUUUAGAGACUGCAUGGAAAAGAAAAUUAAAAAUUAAAAAUUAAUUAGCAUUUCGUAAAUGAAACUUUGAACAGCAAACAGCAAAAUAAUAAAAUAAAAAUAGAAACUGCCUUCUCCUAAUGCUGCAUUAGUGAUGCUAAAACUCUCCACGUGUUCGUCAAAGAUUUAGGUAGAACAGAACUUAACAUCAGCUUCAAUAAAACAGUCUUAUAUGAGUUAAAGGAAUUCAUUGAUCAGACAAUUAAAGAACACACCUAUAACAGAGAAUAACAUAAAUGAUCUCAUAUUACUUACUAAGGGCCUAUUUGGACAUCGGCACAUCUUUCAUGGUGAUAACUUGUGUUGUAUAGUGUUUGCUUCAGUGCUCGCUAUUCCUUCAUAUCAAGUUUAGGCAACUUCCCAAUUCUCAUGCCUCUCGACAUUCAACUACCAAAUGGUCCCUUAAUAAACAACAGGAGCUAUGCCAUAAAAGUUAUUCUCGUACGCAUUCAGCCCUAGAGGGUCCAUCAAGACUGGAUAUUCAACAACCACAAACUAUCCAAACAGAAAAAGCAGCAGAAAAGGUUGUUGUUGAAGAAUAACAAAAUUACUUCAUUCGAAAUACAUCAUUUUUUUGGUCUUAAGUAUGAGCAUAAAAUACCAAAAUACACUAGCAUGACUUCAGAAGUAAAUGUGGAAAAAACUAGACAAGGAUAAGAAGCAUACUUCAGUAAAGCUUUGACGAAGUGCAAGAAGCUUUCCCUUCUCACUUCCAGCAAAAAUCAGUUUUUGCUUGAUCAACUCGGAAGCAGAAUUCCUGUUAGAAUGUUUCAAAUAUAAGGCUUAAAUAAACAACUGAGCAGAAAAGUACACAAUAGACGGUACUCAAUUUCUACAAUCAGGAACUAUAUUGUGAGAGAAAUGCUAUGAAGACAUGCAUAAAUGAUGAACAAAAUGGAAUUCAGGUGUGAGUCUGAUGGAAAUACUCACUUUCUACCCACAAUGACUCGAACUGCAUCAUGCAUUAUUGAACGCGCAAGUUCUUCAACAGAAUCAGGCAAGGUGGCACUGAAUAAAGAACGAAUAAUUGAAGGAUUCGAGCAAGCUUUAACAACAGAAUCAAUCUGCUCAACAAAUCCAAGCUCAAAUAGCUUAUCUGAUUCAUCCAAGACAAGGUACUCCACCCUGCAGCAAGCAACAAAUAAAGGAUUAAAUUUUCUAACCAAAUCCCUUUUUCUUCAUCCAACUCUAAUAUGAUAAAAAACCAUAAGGUCAAAAAUACUUAGAACGUAAGAGAUGUGAUUUACCAACAAUAUUUACAAGAAAGAGUAACUUUGACAAAUUAAAGAAGUUCAGCAACAUCUAUCAACUAAAUAUUCAUGCUGGUUUCACAGUUGAAUUCAAAAUAAUAUAUGAGUAUACGGUAAUCGACCUUACACUUCGAACUCAAUAAACUCUGUAGAUUUUUCUUAAAUGUUUGAAAUACUUGAAUGACUCGAACAACAAGUUCACUUUCGAAACAAAGUAAUAGAAAAUGACAUUAAUGAUCAACAUCAAAAGAACUGUACCAUUAGUUAUAUGGCAAGAAUAUCAUUAGGUUGCUUGUACGCAAAAAGAACCAGGCAUGAUUGAUAAGAUUCAAGGGAAAUAGUUACUGAGUUACAAAUAGAAAGUUUGCCUUUCAAAGCAAGAUAAACUACAGGUAAGAGAAAAUCUAAACAUUCUAGCAUUUUGAAGCAUAAGAGAUCAUAUAUAGAUUGUUCCUGAAUCUUUUAUAAUACGGCAAAUAAAAGAAAAACUAAGAAAGGAUCUUUCAAAGAACUGAUACUUUUAGCACAAACCUACUUAAAUUGAGCUUUCUUUUCCUCAAAGCAAAGUCCAACCGCAGUGGAGUUGAAACAAGAAUGUCGCAAUGCAUUUUUUCAAAAUCACCAGAUCGAGAUAGGUCCUUAGUCAUUAAUUUGAUAUAAAAUUUCCUUCCUUUAGCCAACUUCUUACACUCUCUUGUAGUUUGUGCAGCUAAUUCUCGCGUAGGGCAAAGAAUCACAGCUUUUACACCAUCCUUAGUUCCUGGCUGUUAGCAGCAAAUUAGACUUAAAGUAUGCCCAGUGUCUCUCUUAUGGAUAAUACCCAAACUGAAAAAUACUACCUUAAUUUUCAUAAGGAUUGGAGAUAGAAAAGCCAAUGUCUUGCCAGAACCUGUUGGAGCACAGGCGAAGCACUCUUGCCUCUGCAAUAUAUCAGCUAAAGUCAAGCUAGUUUUCUACAGUAAACAUAAAUUAUCCCUUUUUUCUUUGGAACGGAGGACUCGAAUAUUAAGCACAAGGGAGCCAGCGAAGUAAAAGAGCUUACUGAGAGGAGCACUGGAAUAGCCUGCCUUUGAAUAGGUGUAGGUUCUUUAAAUCCAAGUCCAGAUAAGUUCUGCAACAACUUGGAUUUGCAGCCAUACCUGUCCAAUUAAUAAAUUAUGAAAUUAACAAGCUUUGUAGCAUACCAAGUUAGAAAACUAAAUUUAGGAACUUCAUACCCAAGAAUGAAAAUUUCCUGCAUUGAAUACUGCAGAGUGGACAAGAGCAAGUGGAAAGGGAGAGAAUAUAAUAAAGAGCUCUAUGGAGGUACAAAUAUUAAAGAAUAAAAUGACAAAAAUGAAAACAAUGACAUAACCAAAUAAGAACACAUAAUAUUACUGAUUCAUCAUCAUUGAAAUAUAUAGCAGGCUGCCACUGGUCGCUAAACAAAAUUUGAUUAUGAGUUGCAAUGUUCAGUUUAAAGAAAAAAUCUGAGUCGGACUUUUGAUCUCAGUAUGCAUCUCUCCCAUGUAAAUGGCGACAAAGAUAUAUGUAGAAGAUCCAACAUUGUUGCACAUCCUGAAAUGUUUGUAGCCUGCUAAAGCUUCAUUUGUUCAAUUCAUUCAAAUUGUAAGUUUUAUGUGUCAAUGUUGCAUUAUUAGCACGUCAGAAUAAAUUAAGCUACAAGAGUUUUGAGCGUUCUUUCGUUUCAACGAAAAUUUCAUUUAGCGAACAUGCAUCUAUAGAUCAACAAUGUUUUGAAUCUUACACUUAAAAUUGUUCUCUAGCAAAUUCAAAGACUGUUGGAUUGUUUGCAACAUAAAUGAAUCAGAAAACCCAAUUGUUCCUAUGAAAUUGAAUCCUAAGUCUGCAAAGUACCAUUUAAACUAAGAAUUUAAGUGCUGUAGCACAUGGUCGUACCGGAAACUUGCCAGCACGGUACGGCACAGUGAGCGCCAGGUGAUGCCGAUGCGUGCAGGUCACAAAAAAUACAUGUGUGCCGACACAUAAUGACAUGAAAUAUUUAUUUUCUUUAGCAACAAAAUAUUCUGACUAUUUAUUAUGUAUUUUUAUCAUACCUUUUGUUGAGAAAAUUACUUACUAAUUUAAAAAAUAGGGGGUUUGAGCUAUGCGGUCGGUACGGGGGUUGUAUCGUGCCGAACCAUAUGCAACAUUCUGAAUAAAUUUUGCAACACCAUGUGGGUUUUGAGUCUGUCACCACCAAAUACUAUAGUAUGCUUGUCACGGACUAGGUUCAUUGCUUUUCUUACAAGUUACAAAAUUUGGUGUAUAUAGAUUUGAUUUAUGUCUACUUUUCAACUCGGUAAUAUUCCUGAUAAUUAUUUUUGGAUAGAAUAGAGCCACAAUAAAUUGAUAACGUUGACACGGGUGGUAGAGUAUAUAAGGAUUAAAUAACAUUGGUAGAGUUGAUAGCCUAUUAGAGCAAGAUGGUAGAAGGCCCGUUUAGCCAAGCUAUCGAGUGUAGUGUGGUUGAAAAGGUGCUAUAUAAAAUAGUGCGAUGUUAUUGAAACAAAUGUAGAUGGUUUGUCUAAUUCAGCUAUAAAAGUGUUGUCUACUUUUAAAUAUAAAAAUAUAAAAACACCAUUCUCUACCAGCUUAAGUUUUUAGAGAAAAACGGUUGUUUCGCAUUAUUUAAUAUGGUAUCAAAGCAGGAGAUCCUGAAUUCAAGUUACACCAGGCUCCUUGCAUAAUUGAUUUACUUCCAUUUAAUUCGAGUCCACGUCAUGGCCUAUCAAAAGUCUCGAGCCCAAACGUGAGGGGGAAUGUUAAAUAUAAAAAAUAUAAGAACACCAUUCUCUACCAGCUUACGCUUUUAGAGAAAAACGGUUGUUUCGCAUUAUUACAUUUGGCAUAGAAAGAUGUUUGGAAAAACUCUGUUGAAAUGCUAUCAACUAUUGCGAAGUGUAUUAAAAAUUUUUUUUAUAAAUAUAAAAUUGUAUUUGGACCCCUCUACUAUAUGCCAUUUAUAUGAAGGGCUUAAAACUUUUUCUUUUGGUUGACAUCCCGUUUUUCAAUAAUUUUUUUAAGGAAAAAGAGUACAAAGGCCCCUCAUUAAUGCGCUACAAUAGUAAAGCAUACUAAAAUAUUGAUUAAGGUAAUCCUAUGAGAAAGAAACUAAGUUGUAUGAGUUUGUCUCUACCAUUUAGGUAAGAUUUAAAUUUUUAAUUUGUUUUUCUUUCAAACUAUCCUAAUUUAAAUAAUGAUGUUUUCGUUACAAUUCUUAGUUCAUAUCUAUACCCAUGCUAAAACCUUUCAAUUUUUCACUUUUCAAGCUUCAACAGACACUUCAAUAAUGCUAAUUGGAAAAAAUGAAAGGUCGGUCUCCAAUAAGUGUACAUAACAUGGGAUCUCUUAAUAUUCAGUUGAUUUGCCAAUGGCAUUUACAACAUAUAAGAUUCGUACAUAGGUGUGUUGUCACAAUUUUAUGCUGUAGAGAAUUAGAAAUACUAAUGUAGAUGGAAAGUUGGAAAUGACCCAAAAUGGUUUAGAAAGAAACCUCCGAUAACAACCAAAACCAGAGAGAGAGAGAGAGAGAGAGAGAGAGAGAGAGAGAGAGGCAAAUCAACACCACAGGUAAUACCAACCCUUGAAUCAUAAUAUCCACCUUGACCAGCUCACUACAACCCCAUGCAAGGAUUGUCGAGCCAGUAGUACGGGCAUUUAAUGUGCCAACAGCACGGCACACCACGCCAGCGCACGCCCCAUUUUAUAUGUUGGCACAGUUAGCAAGAGCUUAUCGGCACAGGCAGCACAUGCCGACUGUGCCAGAUGGUGCCAACUGGAAUGGCAAUCCUUGACCAUAUGUCAAAAAUAUUUUACACAAGAAUUGGUCAGUAAUAUGUUCCUAACUUCCAGAAGCAACUACCAUAUGGUUUUGAACGAUCAAAUUUGAGAAAAAAACAUAUUUUCUAUCAGCGUUAUGUAAUUUAUGACCAAUUAAUCUUUUGCACAUCUGAAUUUAAUUAGGUUUAUAUUUCCAACUUUGUGAAAAUCUUCCACAUUUUUAAAAAAUAUCAGAGGUCUCAAAAGGUCAUCAGAACCUUUUUGGAUUUCAUGAUUUUGAAUCCCUCUUUGAUUUACAACUCAAUAAUAAACUACUUUGAUAACAUCCUAUGCAUAAGAAUUAAGAUAUACGAUACGUGAUACAGAUGCAGUUGAGAAUGGUUAAGAUUGGGUUCAGGCAUCAGUCCUGAGGCUCCCAAAAUAAAUAUUCACAAAAGAUAAAGCCAACAAAAAAUGCAAGCCCAAAAAUGUCAAUUGUCAAUGCCGUUUUCAGUAGAGCAACACGAAAAAGUCAAGUUCUAGCAUAUAAUUCUAUUUUCCAAUAUAUAGUGCAAAAUAACUAUCUUGAAUAAAUAGACCAUUAAUUCUUACAUAUAAAAGAAUCUUUGCAAUAAUAUUAUGCAAAACAAAAGAUCCCUACUAGUAUUAGAUCAGCAUUGCACUUGUUCCUCCUAUGGAAUCUAGUAAAAACAUUAUCAAUCCAAAACAUAUCACAAAUAUCCAAAAUUAGUAAAUCAGCAACACUGCAGCUAACGUGAUGAACAACAAAAACCAACCUUGAACUCAGUUCUUCAAAACUCUCAAGCGGUGCAGGAACAUUAUAACCUGAAAUAUGAAUCCCAUGCUUCUUCCGCAGAAUCGAAGCUCUCUGUAACGCCACACCAACAACAACAAAAUCCAAAUUAAAACGAAAUCUUUAGCCAAAAAAAUAGAAAUUAAACAAGAUACUCAAAUCAGCAACUUGGCCGACCUCGAUCUCCCUUGCCAGUUCCUUCCUAUGAGUAUUAGAGCCAUCCGCUUCCCCGGAUCUAGGGUUUCUCACAGAAGAAACGGAUCCAGAGCACCCGAACACGUUGAAACCCUCGACGAUCUCCGCGGAAGCGGAGGAUUUGUCCUUCCGCUUCCUCUUCUUCUCCUUCUUCUCCGGCGACCCCGGCGGCUCUGCUUCUUCUUUUCUGGCAUCCUCCGGAGGCGGCGGCGGCGGCGGCGGCCGCGGCUCCUUCGGCUGUAGAUAAAGAUACAUAGAAAGCGAUGUUACGAAGAAGAAGAGGAAGAGCAGAACCAGGGUUAGGGUUAGGGUUAGGGUUUUGUUUUUUUGCCUUGAAGCGGGCGAUGUCGGAGCCGAAGCGCUUCCGGUCGAAGUGGGUUCCGGCGAAGAGAAGUGACGACGCCUUUUCCAUUCGAUGAAUUGCUUUCUCUCUCUCUCUCCUCUUCUCUCUUCCCCUAUUUCCUGACAAUCCGUAAAACAAACUUUUCGAAAAAAUUUCUUUACGACCGUACAAACGCCGAAAAUUUAGUUUUCCACUAAAUUUUUUUUUUUAAGAUGCUUUUCCCACGAAACAAAUACACCCUAAAAAAAAAAAAAAAAAUUUACUACCAACCAAAUAUUCGAAACCCAUUUUUCAACAGAAAAAAAAAUUUCAAAAUGCUUUACAAAGGGCAUGUUUGGUUACUCGAAAAUCGGCGAAGUGAAAAAAAUUAUUUUUACGAAAGUAACUUUUACGAAAGUGACUUUUCAGUUCGAUUGUUUGGUUGGUAUAAAGUAAAAAAUUAAAACUAUGAUUUUAUAAUUUUUUAAUUAUUAAAUUAUAUAUAAAAAGGUGAAAAUAUAAACAAACUACUUAUACUUACAAUUUAAAUUAAAAAUUUAAAUUUAAAUUAAUAUUUAGAAUUCAAAGUUAUUUUUUAAAAUUUAAAUUUUAAACUUAAAUCUGAGUUGAAUUUAUAAUUAAAAUUUAAGAUAUAAAUUUAAUUUACAAUUUGAAUUUAAAAUUUAAGUUAUAACUUAAUAAUUAAAAUUAAAUUUUAAAAUAAAAGUUCAACAAAAAAAUUAGAAUUUAAAUUUAAAUUCUAGAAUACAAUUUAAUUCAAAUUAAAUUUAAAUUCAGAAAAAAAAAAAUGAAAUUCAAAUUUAAAUUUAAUAAAAAUUAGAAUUUAAAUUUAAAUUAAAUUCAGAAUUCAAAUUUAAACAAAAUAAAAUUUAAAUAUUAUUUAGAUUUAAAUAUAAAUCAAACAAUCUUGAAUUUUAAAAUUUUAUAUCGAAAUUUUAAUUACAAAUAAAAUUAAAACAUGAUCAUAUAUUUUAAUUCAAAUUUAAAGUGAAAUUGAACUUAAAAUUUAACCCUAGAGGGCCCAAAUGGCUAAAAAUUUACAAUGGCCUAAAAAUUUACAAGCACCAAUCAAUUGAUACUUUUAAAAGCAUAGACCUCAAUUCUCUCAACUCUUCAUCUCUAUAUAUAUAUAUAUAUAUAUAGAGGAGAGAGAGUAGGGGAGGGUUGGGAGGACAUGUGUCACUCCAAGGUCCCCCAAACACUCCUUUAAUGUAGUAGAAAGAAUAGAAAUAGAUAUGUAUUAAACCAAAUAAGUCUCUAUCAUCUAUAAAAAUAUGCCACUAGCUUAGGUGGUGAAUCAUUUAAAACUAGAGGAGGUCCGUACUUUGCAGCAGAUCGAUAGUAUUCUAGUCAAUCAAUAUAUAUAAUUAUUAAAAUUAAAAAGUUAAAAAAUUAUAAUAAAAAAUUUAAAAAAAUUAAUAGUCUUUUAUGCAUUAUAAAAACUAAUUUUUUUAUUAAUAAUUUUUAACUUUCAAUAUUUGUUGAGUUAAAGUAUUCUAAAAAUUUCAUUUAAAAAUUUGAUCAAACUUGGUAGUUUUAAUAGUUAUUCUAUAAAUAAAAUUUUUAAUUAAAAAGUUCAAAUUGGAGGACUUAUUCUAAAUUAUCAUAUAUAUUUGGUGCAUAUAUAUAUGCAUGGUGUAUAUAUAUUAUAUAUUAUUAUAUAUAUACCUGGUGUAUAUUAACACACUAUACACCAUAACUUAUAUUAAAAGAACUAAUAUCUAAUAUCAAAAUUUAAUUAAAUAUAUCUUAAUUAUAAAAUUUAAUAAAUUAAUUAUAUCUACUGAAUUAAAUUUCAAAAUCUCUAUUAAAGCUUUAAAUUAUGUUGUGUAUGUUUUUAUAUACACUAAGUGUAGAGAAUAUUUAAGAGAGUGCAAUAAUAAAUUUCAAAAAAAAAUGAGAAAUUUUUGCUUGCAUAAGGUGUAUACUAAUAUUUUAUACACCAUAAAAUUAUAUUAGAUAAUGAAUAAAAUAUUUGAUAAUUAAUAUUAACGAUUUUUAUAAUUUGAUAGAAUUGCCAAAUUACCAAAUUAUAUAUUUUAUAGAUUUUUAAAUAUUAAUAAUUAAAAAAUAGGCUUCGUGUAUAUGAUAUUUUCGUAGACCGGAAGCAUGCAAUGUGUAUUGUUGAAGUGGAGAAGAGAGAGAGAGGAGGACACAUGUCACUCCCAUGACUUUUGAUAUGACCCGACUCUCAAAUUAUAUAUUUAUCAGUGAAAUGCCCGCGCGAUGCUGCAGAUAUAAAAAUAUUUUUAUAAUAAAUUUUAUUUUUUUAAUAUUUUUAUAUAGUUUUAUAAGUCUAAUUAUUAAUUAAGUAAAAAUUAUAUAAAAAUAAUUUAAUCCGUAAAUCUAUUUAAAUAAAAGUCAUUAAAAUUGGUAUAGCGCAAAGUAAUUUAUACAACAAUUUAUUUUAUAAAUAUUUAUAUGAAAAUAAUUUGAGAUAAAUCUAUCAAAAUAAUUAAAAAAUCAAUAAAUAGAAGAAAAAUAAAAUUGUAAAAGAAAUUGUUUAAUAACAUUAAUUAUAUAUACACAGAAAUAUACUAUAUUUCUAAAAUUUUACUUCUCAAAUUUAAAUACUGUAUUUUUUUAUGCAGCGAUAUUUUACAUGAUUUAAAAUGCAUCUAUCAGGUUAGAUUUUAUUACGCAAUUUAUUACACUUAUUAUUAAUAAAAUUAAUUAAUUAUAUUAUAUAUAAUGAAUUAUUAAUAAAAUUAAUUAAUUAAUUUCAUAGAGUUUAGAGCUUUAAUUUUAAAUUUUGAAGUUUAAAAUUUGAAAAUAAAUAUUAUAAAUUAAAUUUAAAAUUUUAAAAUUUGAAAGUAUCAAAAUUUUAAAUUUUGAUAUCAAAAAAUAUAUAUACACCCUAUGGUUUCCCCAAACCCUCCUUUAAUGUAGAGAAAUAGAUAUAUAUAGUAUAAAAUCCGCACUUCGCUGCUGCGAAUAAAUAAAAUUUUAAUUAAUUAAUAUAUAAUUAUUUAAAAAUUAAAAAUUAAAAUAUAAAAUAUAUUUUAAAAAAAUAAAAUAUAAUAUAUUCGAAAAAAUCGUUAAUUUCUCAAUAUCAAAAUAUUUGUCAACUUAAUAUUAAAAAUUAAUUAGAAUUUACAUUUUAUUUUAAAAAAUGAAGAACAUAAUAUAUAGAAAAAAAUCAUUUAUGUCACGCCCCGGAUUACACGUUCUCCAGGCACGCCGACAAAUCCACAGUAUUAAAAUAUAAAAUAUCAUUUAUGUCACGCCCGGAUUACACGUUCCCCAGGUACGCCGACAAAUCCACCGUAUACAAAGAAAUUUUUCCUGUAUACGAAGCGACGGCUGUACCUGUAGACCAUACAAUACUACAAAAAGUAGUAUAGAGCUACUAGAGUAAACAGAAGCUAAACAAACAGAGUUCCAUAUAUAUAGUCCAAUACUAAAAAUAUAGAGUUACUCGCACUGGCGAGUUAAGUAUACUAUGUACAUGAACUCAAACAAAACAUCUACCUGCAGUAGGGGUACCUCUAGCUCGGCACGUCUGGUAGGGCUCUAACUCGUGACGCCCUUGCCUCGAUCCUGGUCGGCAACAGCAGCAGCCGAAGACGAUGGCUCUGCAAAAAUAGGGGAUAAAACAGGGCGUGAAAACUACUGUAAAAAUAGGUAGUUCUCAGUGGGUGCCGCCCUCAACAAUAUCGGUCCACCCACUAAGUCUACAGAAGGGAGCAAAGAUAGUAGUAAAUGCAGGAAUAAAAUCUACCGCUAUGAAUCACUACACUACCAUGCUCUACACUAACCAACUUUAGGAAAUGUCAAAUCUGACUCAAUCCAAUCGGGACUGUAUGCAUAUCCGUCCCUGGGACUAUGAACACACCCGUCCCUGUCCAGUUGUGACUAUCCAGCUACCUCCACACUAUUAAUCCGUGGAGAGUAAGUCCAACCGGCAUGAGCGACACCAACGCGAAAGCACAGCGCCCGUCUCCGGAGUGGCACUCGUGGGAGCUACCUAACCGAGUAUGCAGCGUAUCUCUGUCGAGCUCAAUCAGGCUCUCAAAAGCCAAAGUCAAAUAACUGACUCAAACUGGUCUAACAACCAACAGGUAACGUGCCCUCGGCACAAUUCGACGCCAAAUAGGCGAUACGGGUCCACCGUCAACCUCGACAGCACUCAACAGUCCGGAACAGCCUGAACGCUACUGUAAAAGUACACUCGACAUCCCAGCACGAGUGUAACUGAAAUCUAAACUAUCUGGGAUACCCACUAAGAGGAUACUGCAACAGUAAAAAUUUAUACAACGGCCCCUAUAGCUAAAUCAGGUAGUUUAAGCAUAUGACGAUCAUAAUCGCGAGUUUUCUCCUAAGACUCAUCCAAGUCCAACAUGUAUAUAUAUCCAAAGAUAAUAACCAAGGCUCCAAUUCAGAUUAUUAAUCAUAGUAAAUCAAUGAACCGAGCAAUUACUACACACAAAAUAAUUCCACGAAUGCAUGUCGACUAUAUAGGCACUUAGAAGUAAACCGAUGAUUAACCCACCUAAAACGUAAAUCCCUGACAGUGAAGAAGGUCACCGGAGUCCCUGUCAAGCUCGGCGCAGCUCCCCGAACCAGCGACAACAAUGCUCCACGGAUCUAAACAUAGAAGCCCACAAUAAGCCUCGAAUCUGCCCAAAGCAACAACAGCAGAGAAAAAUAGUGAUACAACCAAGCUAACCUUCACCAAAUUCGGCAAGUAAAGGCUUCGUGGAUUCCUCUCGAAGUCCCGAAUCCAACGAACCAAAUCUCGUCAAAAUCCGACGCUCCUACGCCGAGAACGAGCCAAAACGCCAACGAUCAAUGCCGAAAAAUCUGCAAAUCAGCACAUAGCUCGAAUUUGAUGAUGCUUGGAAAUGAAGAAGCAAAUCGACGGAAUACCCACCUCGACAGCGACUAGCACCAGGGCGAUGUCAAUAACGGCGAAGAUCUAUGCUCGCCCGGCCUCCUUGCGACACAACGGCGGCGAACGUACGCUCGAACGGCUUCGCGGUGCGACGUCGACGGCGAAACCUCCACCCGAGCUCCCUCCUUGGCUCACGAUCGAAACUAGAGAGAGAGGAGUAGAAGGACAGUACAAACUCUCUCUCUCAGCUCUACAUAAGCCUAAAUAGAGAGAGAGGGAAAGGGUGACACGGACGAGGUGGAAAAAGACCAAAAAGUCCUCCUACCUACCCUGACGUACCGGUACAUGGGCUCGCGUACCGGUACAAGAAGCCAACCCGAGACCAGUUUGCGCGCAACCUGUGCGGUGCACCGGUACACGAUGAUGGCUGUACCGGUACAGCAAGCAAAAAAUCAGCUUUUUUGUAGAUUUUCUUGCUAAAUGCUGCUCUCGCGUCGCACAGAGUCCGUUUUGCGUCUAUUUCGCGCCAACGUGACUCAGACUUGUCUCGACACUCUCCAGAGAUGUCGACAAGCCUUCACUGCUGAACACCAAGGGUCUCACAGUUUACUUCUCAAUAUCAAAAUAUUUGCCAACUCAAUAUUAAGAGUUUAUAUUUCAAAUAAAAUAAUUUUAAAAAAAUUUAAAAAAAGUUAGCUCAUUAGAAAGCAAAUUAGAGGGUAAAAAUUAGUGUACUUAAAAAAAAAAACUGCUUCUCUUCUUUUUUUUCUUUUUUUUUUAUUUGCUUUGGAAACUAUAGAAUGGUUAAAAGUUAGUAGGAAAAAAAAAAUAGAAAGGCAAAAAAAAAAAAGAAAAAAAAAGGCAAGUUAGCCAAAAUAAUUGGUCAACAAAAUCAGUCCACAGAUGCGUUUUGCAUUCCCCACAGACAGGCUAUGCAUCUCCUCUCUCUCUCUCUCUCUCUCUCUCUCUUUUGUUUCAAAAAUAUGCAUCCUCUCUCUCUCUCUCUCUGUUUCAGAAAUAUGCAUCUCCUCUCUCUCUCUUUCGCUUGUUUCAAAAAUAUGCAUCUCCUCUCUCUCUCUCUCUCUCUCUCAUUUGUUUCUUAUAUACUCAACCCCUUGUUCCCCUUUGCCUCCCUACAACUCACUCCCAUCUCCACAAACUCUCAAAACCCAUCUCAAAAAUCCAUUCUCAACCAAAACCCAAAACCCAAAAUAUUACUCUUUUGUUCAUGGAAACCACGUUCUUGUUACUUUAUUUAGAUUUAGAUGACCCUCCGAGGGUAAAACCAACUCUUAAUCCGCGGGUAUGGGCGGCAGCGACUUCGGACGACGUUUGGACGGCAUCGGCGAGUACGGCGGCAGCACCUCGAGUUGCUGGCGACGUCGAUAGUGGAUGCGGAGGCAACACCUUUGGGCGGCGUCGGCGGGUUCGGCGGCAGCGGACAGAAAAGGAGAUCUAGCACAGUUCCCUUUCUUUUUUAUUUCUAUAUAUAUACAUUUAUUUAUUUAUUUAUUUAUUUAUUUAUUUUUAACUUUCCUUCUUCUAUCUUCUCUUGCUCUUUUUUCUCUCUUUUUUUUUGCUUUUAUUUGUUUUGCAACAGAAAAUGUGGAUUACCGCACAGUCGCCUCCCGCCGAUUCUCCAUGUGAUUCCAUGUGUGCGAUGCCCAUAUCCCCCUCCCCGAUUCGAACUCUUUUCUCGAGCUAUUUAUAAAGCCCAAGCUUUCGAAAUCAAGAUAUUUUCAGAUCUUAAAAAGAUCUGGGCAGAGGAGAAGAGAGAGAUAGAGAGAAGGGGAAGGUUUUUAAUGUUAUUUACUUGUCUUGGGAGGGGAAGGUUUUAAUAUUAUUAAUAUUUACUUGUCUUGGGAAACCUUGGGACCAAGAGAUUUUUUUUGGGUAGGAGAGAGCUGUCUUGAAAAAUUUUAAAAAUAUUUGGAAAAAAGAGAGAGGAUUUUUUUGAAAAGGAACUGGUUUACUCUUGGGAAGGAGCUAUGAAGCCAAGAGAUUGUCACGUAUGCAUCAUAUUAUUUUUUUAUUUGUGGAAAAAUGAACCAUAUCUGAAAAUUGUUUGAAAAAAAAAAAAAUCUGAGAACAAUUUUUUUAUUCGUAAAAAAGGAAAUGCCGCCACGUAUGAAUUUAGAACCAUCAAUUAGUAUAUUUGUAUGGAUUCUUUUCUUAGUUUGAAAUUUAUUUCUUAUUUUUUUAUUCUUUUUUAGAAAUAAAAUUAAUUAGAAAUAUAAAUCAACUAGGAUGCGAACUUGAGACCCUCGGAUACCAAUCACUAAAUCCUUUGCCACUUGCCCUAGGACAAUCGGUAUUCAAAAUUUAUUUCUAAUACAACGAAAUGAAUUUAUUUCUAAUACAACGAAAUGAAUAGUAUGUCUGUUUUCUCCUCCCUCCCCUCAAGAAAAAAUAAAUAAAAGAAAAGAAAAGAAAAAGUGUCAAAAUUAUAGAUUUAGAGUGUCAUUCUACAGUAGAUUAGAGUUUUGGGGUAUUUCUGCGAUUAUUCCCUUUUCAUUUUGGUAACAUUCUCCGAUCAGAAAAAAGUCUAGAAUAAUGCGGAGCACGAAAACCCUAGCGGCGGCGGCCGGCGCUGGAUCCAUCUAAGCAUAUUGAAAGUGGAUCUUCCUCAAAAUUGUCUUCUUAUGAGAAUCGCAACAACAAAAUUUUAAAUAAUAAAAUUACUAUUACAGCAGCUAUCUCUAAAAUUAUAUUUUUGUUAAAAAUAAAUAACAUUUAGGCCUCAAAUGACAAAUAGUAUUCUACAAAUACAAAAGUUAUUUUAAAUUAAAUAUUUAUUCAGGAUGGAGUUGGAAAGAAGCUCAAGAGAUUUUUAUUUUAUUUUUUUUGCCUUCCCAUUUGGUGUGUAUUAGGGUAGCUGCUCCACCAGCCCUGAAUCCAUUUGCAUCCCUAAAACUAUACUUCUAUUUGAAUUUUUGACAAAUCUAUUAAAAUCCUUUGUAAAUAAUUCUACUCAAACAUAAUUUUGAUAUUAAAAAACCCAUCCACACUCUCCAACAAAUUAAGACUUAAUUUAAUAUUGAAAUCAAACUGACGCUAUUAAAUAAAAUAGAGUCAGAAAUAUAUCGUAACUGACUCAUCGUGAUAUGCAAAAUGCAAUAUUAAGUAUAGAAACAAACAAAAUAUCUUUCCAUCGUAUUUUUUCACCGCAUGUAAUGUAAUCUUUCCGCAAUUCCCCACAAUUUCAAACAAAGCCUAGAUUUUAGGCUCAAAUAAUAUUUGAAAGCAUAACAAUACAAGCUAAUCAAAAGAAGAAAUCCAACCGUAGAAACAAACACGCAGGAAUGUUUUGGUUUUCUCCAAUUUCUCAUAAAAUUAUACAGUUUAUUACUUUCCCACUUUCUCAAUCUUCUCAAAUGAAAAUUAACUAGAAAUAGCAAAUAUUUAAAGUAACAACAAGGCACUAGUUGUGUGAGUGAGCUGUUUUGAAUGAUGCUACCAUUCAAAACACAAUGCAACUAAUGGCCCGUUUGACUUAGUUUCUGAAAAGUGAUUUGUGAAAAAGUGAUUUUGGUUUGAAGAAGUGAUUUUGGUUAAAAGUUGUAAAGCGUUUGGCUGAGUUUAGAUAAAAGUGAUUUUUCUUAAGUAAUUUUGCAAAGCUGUUUGCCAAAAUUUUUUUGAUGUUUGCAUAAAUUAACUAUUUUAUUAAAUUUUAUUUUAAAAUAAUUUAAAAUAUAAAUUUGAAUUUGAAUUAAAAUUAAAAUUUUUAAAUUUCAAAAUUAUACAAAAUUUCAAAUUUGAUAUUUUAAUUAAAAAAAUAAUUUAAAAUUUUUAAAAUUUAAAUAUUUAAAAUUUAAAAUAAUUAUGAAAUUAAAAUUUAAAAUUUAAAAAUUUAAAAAUUUAAAUUUAAAUUUAAAAAUAUAAAUAAUUAGGAAAUUUAAAAUAUAAAAUUUUAAUAUUAAAAAAAUAUCAUUUUAAAUUUUAAAUUCCAAACUUUAAAUUUAAAAUUUAAAAUUUAAAAUUUAAAAUCUAAAAUCUAAAUUUAAAAUUUGAAAUUUAAAAUCUAAAAUCUAAAUUUAAAAUUUGAAAUUUAAAAUUUAAAAUCUAAAUUCAAAUUUUGAAAUUUAAAAUUUAAAUUUAAAAAUAUUAAUUAUGAAAUUUUAAAUAUAAUAUUUUAAUAUUUAAAAAUAUAAAUUUAAAUUUUAAAUUUCAAAGUUUAAAUUUAAAUUUUAAAUAUUAAAAUUUAAAAUUUAAAAUUUAAAUAUUAAAUUUUAUAUUUUAAAAUUUAAAAUUUAAAUUUUGAAUAUUUAAAAUUUAUUUUCAAAAAUUUAAAAUUUAUAUAAAAGGGUAUGAUAGAAUUGUGAGUAAUGGGAGAGGUAUUAUUAAUUAUAAAAGGGUAUGAUAGAAUUGUAUUGUUUGUUUAAGGGUAAUUUCGAUAUUUUAGUAAAAAAAAAUUUAAGUGGGGAAACAGCUUAUGCGGGAAUCAAUUUUGAGAAGCAGGUUUUUUCAGCUUCUGCUUUUGGGGGUUGAAGAAUCAGUUUUCAACUUUUAGAAAGCAGAAUCAGAUUUUUUAGAUACCUUUAUCAAACACUCUAUUGGGCCUAAAAGUGAUUUUCAGCCGAAAAUCACUUUGAAAUAGCUAGGCCAAACAGGGCCUAAGUUGCAUUCCAUGUGUAUAUGUAUUAAACCAAAUAAGUCUCUAUCAUCUAUAAAGACAUUCCACUAGCUUAGGUAGUGAAUUAUUUAAAACUAGAGGAGGCCCGUGGUUUGCAGCGGAUCGAUAAUAUUCUAGUCAAUCAAUAUAUAUAAUUAUUAAAAUUAAAAAUUAAAAAAUUAAAAAAUUAUAAUAAUAAAAAAUUCAUAUAGUCUUUUAUGCAUUAUAAAAACUAAUUUUUUUAUUAAUAUUUUUAAACUUUCAAUAUUUGUUGAGUUAAAGUAUUCUAAAAUUUUCAUUUAAAAAUUUGAUCAAACUUGGUAGUUUUAGUAGUUAUUCUAUAAAUAAAAUUUUUAAUUACAAAGUUCAAAUUGGAGGACUUAUUCUAAAUUAUUAUAUAUAUUUGGUGCAUAUAUAUGCAUGGUGUAUAUAUAUUAUAUAUUAUUAUAUAUAUACCUGGUGUACAUUAACACCUGGUAAAAAAAAUUAUUAUAUAUAUAUCUGGUGUAUAUUAACACACUAUACACCAUAAUUUAUAUUAAAAAACUAAUAUCUAAUAUCAAAAUUUAAUUAAAUAUAUCUUAAUUAUAAAAUUUAAUAAAUUAAUUAUAUUCACUGAAUUAAAUUUUAAAAUCUCUAUUAAAGUUUCAAAUUAUGUUGUGUAUGUUUUUAUAUACACUAAGUUUAGAGAAUGUUUAAAAGAGUGCAAUAAUAAUUUUCAAAAAAAAAGGAGAAAUUUUGCUUGCAUAUGGUGUAUACUAAUAUUUUAUACACCAUAAAAUUAUAUUAGAUAAUGAAUGAAAUAUCUGAUAAUUAAUAUUAACGAUUUUUGUGAUGUGAUAGAAUUGCCAAAUUAUCAAAUUAUAUAUCUUAUAGAUUUUAAAAUAUUAAUAAUUAAAAAAUAGACUUGGUAUAUAUGAUAUUUUCGUAGACUGGGUGAAUGCACAUUUGAAGUGAAGAAGGGAGAGAGAGGAGGACACAUGUCACUCCCAUGGCUUUUGAUAUAACCCAACUUUCAAAUUAUACUAGUGAAGAGGCCCGCGGUUUGCAGUGGGUAGAAACCGUAAUAGUAUCUCAUUUGGUACAUCUACCGAAAGUAUCUCACUGUAGGCGGCAGAUAUGAACCCGACGAUGCCUUCUCCGGCAAUGGUGAUAGUGACGGCGACGACGAUCUCUCCGACCGCGGCGGAAGAAGUAAUUGGGCGCGCAUUUGUCAGAGAGAGAGAGGGAGAGAGGGAAGGAGGCGAUGGUGUAUAGCUAAAGAUGAGAGAUAGAGAAUUGAUGAACAAAUCGGAGAUAAAGAAUUGAAAGUUCGGUGAAAGGAGGAAAAUGGACAAUAAUGAAUAAUUGGAGAUAGAGAGGUUAGGAUCGUAGAUAGUAGUAGGACCAUUUAAAUAUACUAAUUGGAAGUUUGGUAGUGGAACCAUUUACAUUAAUUGAAAGUAUAGUGGAGGGAAGGUAGUGGGACCAUUAAAUUCACUAAUUGAAAGUUUGAUUAAUGGGACCAUUAAAAUGCAUAUUGAAAAUUUAGUAAGCAUGAUGAAUAAUUGGAGAUAGAGAGAUUGGGAUGUAGUAUGACCAUUUAAAUAUACUAAUUGAAAGUUUGGUAGUGGAACCAUUUACAUUAAUUGAAAGUAUAGUGGAUGAAAGGUAGUGGGACUAUUUAAAUGCACUAAUUGAAAGUUUGGUUAAUGGGAUCGUUAAAAUGCAUAUUGAAAGUUUAAUGAUGGAAAGAAGAAGAGUCAUAUACUAUUGAGGGUGAAGAAAAACUUGCCACGUGGUAACAAAGAUUGAGGAUUCAUAUAGUUUAAUAGAUAUUUACUAAUAUAGAAAUCGCGCUUUAAUGAGGAUAUAUAAAAUUUUAAUUAAUUAAUAUAUAAUUAUUAAAAAUUAAAAAUUAAAAAUUUAAUCAUGUUCCAUUCAGAAAAAAUAUUAAUAUUGUUCUUCUCAAUAUCAUAACAUUUACCAAUUCAAUAUUAAAAGUUUAGACUAAAAAAUAAUAAUAAUUUUCGCUAUAAAAUUAAAUAACUAUAUUUUAUUGAAAAUUUUGCAUAAACUACACAUUAGUAAUCGAUUACAUGGUAGUUAAACAAAUGAUAGCUAAAUAUUAUAGCUGAAAGGAUCUCUCAAGUCAAAUAAAAAUCCACAUUUCAUCAAAGGUAAGUAUGAGGUAGUUCAACUCUUAUCCUCCAUAAAUCUUUUUUUAUACAAAUCAAUAUAACAUAAAUAUACUAACAAUUAGAUAUUUAUACAUUUAAAAAAUAAUUAACUGUUUGAAUCAAAAAUAUAGAUUAAAAAAAUCCAUAUAAAUAUAUAAUUUGAUGAUUUUUGUUGGAUAUUUUGCCCGGAACUGAGAAAAAAAAAUCAAGUGAAAUAUGUGGAAAGAUAUUAAUUUUAAAAAAAAUAAAUCGACCGUAGGGCAGGAUCGCAGUGUUGUGGUUAUAGAUUGGGCCAUCUAUGACCAACACUUUGAAUCGAUCAAAGCUGGAAGGAGCACGAUAGCUAAUUUAAGGAGGAGUAAGAGAACUUGAGCAAAGCUUUUGAAAUGGCUUUCUCCAAACUUCAAAAGCUCAGUAAUUAUUGUAUGUGGUAUAAGAUUAUUGCUUAUAAGAAGAUGUAGAAUGUCAUUACGUAUAAGAGAGUUAUACAAAGAGAAAAGUUAUUAUCUCUUGGGAAGGUGAAGAAGUUUCUUGGGGAGGUAAAAAGACUUCUUGGAAAGAUGAGAAGAAUUAUUACCUUUAGUAAGGUGAAAAGGCCUCUUGGGAAAGUGAUACAAAUUAUUACAUUUUGAAAAGGUAAAGAAGUCUCUUGGGAAGGUGAAAAGGCUCAUUGGGAAUGUAAGAAGAACUAUUAUCUUUGGAAAGAUAAAAAAACUCUUGGAAAGGUGAGAGGAAAGGUGAAAAGGCUUCUUGAGGAGGUGAAAAGCCAAAGAGAUAGUUAGGAAAGAGAGAGUCUUGGUGAAAAGGCUUCUUGAGGAGGUGAAAAGGCAAAGAGAUAGUUAGGAAAAAGAGGCUUAGGGAGAGCCCGACGUAAGCUCUCAAAAACCAUUAAAUUAUGUAUUUAUAUAUAUGGAUUCUUUUCUUUCGUUCGAAAUUUAUGUAUUUAUAUAAAUUCUUUUCUUAGUUCAAAAUUUAUUUCUUAUUUUUUGAUUAUUUUUUAGAAAUAAAAUUAGUUAGAAAUAUGAAUUAAUUAGGAUGCGAAUUUGGGACCCUCGUAUACCAAUCACCAAACCCUUUGCCAUUUGCGCUAGAAGUAUGUCUAUUGUCUCCUUCCUCCCCUCAAAAAAAAAAAAGAAAAAAAAAAGAAAAGAAAAAGUGUCAAAAUUAUAGGUUUAGAGUGUCAUUCUACAAUAGAUUAAAGUUUUGGGGGUAUUUGUGCACUUAUUCCCUUUUCAUUUUGGUAACAAUCUCGAGCACGCAUGUUUUCCUUUUAAGUUUUCUUUUGGUAUCUGUUAGCUCUUCGUAGUGCAAGAAAAAGUAAAAAAGAAAAAGAAAAAAAGGGUUUUUGGAUGAUGGACAAAAGCUUGUUUGCAGGUAUACAAGGAUCAAUGUUUUGUUAAAAACUGGGCUUAAGCAGGGUAUACCCCUGUUUACUCAUCAAAAAAAAAAAAAAAAAAAAAAAAAAAAAAAAAAAAAAAAAAAAAAAAGAAAAAAAAAAAAAAAAAAAAAAAAAAAAAAAAACUGGGCUUAAGCAUUUUCAGUAAGUGGUUCAGGCUUGGGAAGAUCCAAGAUAACAAAAAGCUAAUACCUUACCUAAAUACAGCCUGAAUAAAAAAUUAUUCGAACUUGCGGUGACAUGAAACGGAAAAAAACGAGUACACACUUCUAAGAACAUAGCGAAGAACAAAGAUUCUGAAACCCCUAAAGAUUAAAAAAAAAUAAAAAAAAUAAAAAAAACUCACCGAUUCGGAAAGCAAAAUGAUCCCAAAUAGGAAAUCAAUUCGAACCCAAAAUAAGUCAGAUCAGACGGAUAAGAGAUAUUUCCAUGCCUAAGACUGCUUAAUUAAUAUGGUAAUAGAGAACUAGGAUUUAACUCCCAUGUAAUCAAAAUACCUUAGUGCCCUAGAAUUUCAAUGGUUAUGGCUUAUCAUUUACAGCUAUAAAAAGUGACUACGAUUAGUUUUAAACCCUGGUAUUACAGGAAAGCUACAACAGUAAGAAAGAAAAAAAAAAUUAUACUUAAUGGAUACAGAAAAAAAAUAUUUAAAGGUUACAGCUAGAAAUAGAUAAGAGAAGAGAUAAAGCUAAAAAUAUUUAAAGAGUUCCACCAGGAGCUUCCUAGCAAAGCUUCAAAUUGAAACUUCUGCUUGUAAGCCUAGAAGUUGUUGCUCCAACUAGCAGCUGUAAGAUUGUUAUUUACCAAAUGUAUGACAUCCGCUUAAAGCACUAAUCCCGCCAACCCCAUCAUCUAGGAUCGGAUAUUAAUGCACAAUGAAUUAAAAAACCCGGCUUUAUUAACAGCAAAACUAGAUGAUUUACAGAGGAAUCCUCGGCCAAACAAGCAACCAAAUCAGCUCUGUAAUAAAUAUACAUCAUAAAAGAAGCGCAUUCUACAAGCUUCACUGUUUGAAGCACUCUAACAGAUAGAGAGCACAAAAGUAAACCUUAGCUUAUUGUCAGGAACCGUUUGAACAAAGUUCUGCAAAUUAAAAGAAAACAGCUUUUAGAAAGAGAAAAGGUGCCAACGAGAUUUACAGUGGGGAGGAGCUUCUCGUUUUGUGCAUGCUGCUAUCAUCGUGCUAAGGUGGGCGAGCCAAGGAGGGCGAAGAUGAGAUUGCCGCAUGAUAUGAUGAAGAGACCAGCUGCGCAAGAGCCGGCACAGCACCUCCUGUGGAAAUAUAAGUGUGUAAAAAGUAAGUACUAUACAUACGUACAUAAUUUUUAACAGUAAGAAAAAAAAAAGGAGAGCAAGUAACCAGUAGAUCUAGCUACUAAUUAUUCUACUACUUGAGAUUGAAAAAACCAUGUAGAUACGAUGUACUACUGCGACGUAUCUUAUUGUAACUAUGGGGCCUCUUACUGUAACAGAUUACUGAAGAAAGGGACAAACCUAAAGCUUAAACCAACCAAGAAACACUACGGCAUUGGAUUAAAGAAUCAAUAUAUGUAAAGAUUGACGUUAUAAUCUUAGAGAAAAACUUCAGUUAUCUCGACAUACGAUAGAGUAUUUUUCACAAAUGGUUCUGAAAUAUAUAUAUGACAAUCUAGAUUUUCAGGAAUACAUUUAUAUAGAUAAAUGACUUUUUCAAGGAUAAAUAUGCAAAAGCCCAAAAAAUGUAUAUGAAACCAAACUAAAAUCUCAAAAGAAAAGAGUGUCACCUGCCAAUCCAGCACAAGCUGAAGAGAAGACAAUCACAGGUGGUGUCUGCAUAGAAAAGUAGGAAAGAGACCAAUUUAAGAAAUUUUCCAUUGGUUAAACAGCCACUUUGCAUACCAAUAAUGCAUCAUAAUAUACCCUACAGAAGCUUAUAGGAGAAUUAUUAAUGGAAAUUUUCAAGUAUAAUACUCACAAUAUCUGUUGUAGAUCAAAUAACUUACGCAUUUCUUAUGUUUCAAAAGGAAUCUAAAUAUCUUCAAGUACCUCAUUGGUUUUGCUAAUUAAGUACAUCUCAUUACCAUGCUCUCUUCGUUGCAAUAGGAUCACAUAAUCUAAUUAGUGCUUAAUAGAAUGCGAGUCAGGAAACACAUUGUUCUGUGGUGUCAUGUAACAAGUUUUACAAAUGAGCACUAGUUUUGACCGGUGGAGCUUCUAUGGAAGCAGCAUAACAACUAUUUCAUCAAAAUCUCCUUAACAGCUUCUUGUUACAGCAAGACAGAAUCUUCAAAGUGGAACCUCUGAUUUUAGAGCCAAAAAUAUUAUCUUAUCUUGCUACCAUAACAAAAGCCCCAGAUCUUUUGUUAGGCAACCAUUUGAUUUCUGGAAUCUUUUGCUUUCAGAAGUAGAGAAGCCAUUCCAGAUGCAAGGCCCACUAAGCAAUAAACAAAGAAAUAAGUGAAAACCAACAUGUUUUUCUUUAAAAUUUAGCCGAAAGAAUUUUGCAAGCUGCAAACAAACAGAAGAAAUGAUGCAUAUGAAAAACAGAGAAAAUCUAUAACAGAGUUAUUUAACUAAAAUUUUAUGAAAAUAUCAAUGGAAGUUACAUCGAGUUAAGAUACGUACACCAACAAGGAAAUGAACCCACAUUGGCCCUUUCACCCACCUCCUGACAACAGGCAUAACUGCAAUAGCGUUUCACAAGUUAUGAAUGCAAAAUAAUAAUUACUCUUGGCAUUCAGCACGGAAAUACAUCAUCAACCAUUAAUAGAGAGCCUACGAUAAAAUGAAAAAUAUAUUCAGAUUAUAACUCAUCAGAUAAUGACUAAAUAACGCAAAAAAUAAAUCAAAGAAUGAAGUACAGAGGGAAUGCACAAAGACGUCACAUAGACAAAUGCGGUGAUCUAAAAAGAAAAACUAACAUACAAUAGCAACUAAAAGCAUUUAGCAGCACCGGCAACAGACAAAUUGAAUGCGGAGAGAUAGAGAGAAAAAUUAAGGAAAGAGAGAGAUCCAAUGUUCUAUCAAGUACAAGGACGACUCAGCCCUAGGAUGCAGGCAAGCAACUUCAAGAAUACUUCUAUUUAAAAAUUCAGCUCUUUUCACUUUGUGAACUCAGGAUAUCUCUGUUCUCCCAUAUUUUCAUCAAAAAGAAAGGUUGAUGAAGCUUUGUUCUAGAACGGCACGUUUACGCAAGGAUUAAAGUGCCGCCCGUGCCGCACGGCACGGGGGCGUGCCGUACCGUGCCCCCAAGAAGGGGGCACGGUACAGGGGGGGUCUCGGACCCCCCCCUGUCUCGCGGCACGCACCUGCGUGCCGCUCGAGACAAAGCGGCACACUGGUGCGUGCCGGCGGCACGUACCAUGCGUGCCGCCAAUUUUUUUUUUUUUUCCUUUUUGGCUGUUUUUUUUGGUUUUUUUUUUCUUCUGUCCUCUAGGGUUUGGAGCCCCCCUCCCCCCCUUGGGCCAUCUAUAUUGUUUUUUUUUUUUUUUCACUUUGUUGUCUUUUUUUCAACUUUUUUUUUGCUUUUUGACGGAUACCUUUUUUUUAACUUCUUACUUAUCAAUAUAGGAGCAAAUUUUUAAUUGACAUAGACGAUCCAUACCGCGGGGGGCAAAGCCCCCCGCACCCCCCUCGGAUGUCAGUGGUUGGCUACGGGCUCGGGCCUAUCGGCCCGAGCCCUCCGCUUCCACCACAGACAUCCAUUUUUUCUUCACAAAAUAUUUUAUCAAAAUUUGUCGCACCGCGAAACUUUCGAUGAAUCAAUGGAACAAAAAUCGAUUUCCUAAACAAAUUUUGAUCAGAUAUUUUUAAAAAGAAUAAAAAAAUAAAAAUAUAGAUGUAAUAUUGGGAAUAUAUGAAUUUCUCACAAUACCAGCAAUACUUAUAUCAAUAUUGUCAAAUAAAUCUUGUAUCUGCAGAUAACAAUAUGCCAUAUGAUCCAGCGCGACGAUUAUGUGAAAUUAAGCAGUCAUCUCUAUGUAAAGAUGUAAAUUUAAAUAAUUAUUAUACUUGUGAAUUUUAUUAUUAUAUUUUAAUUUUUAUUCUACAUCAGAUAUAGUUGUAUUUUACUUACAAAAAGCUUUCAUGCAUGUUAAUUGAUGAGUAUAGUAAGAUAUACAUAGUAAAUAUUCAUAUUAUUUUGUUUAAAUAUUCCAAAAUAAUAUUAUAAGAGUUUAUUGGAACCAAAAAAGCUAAAAUAAGUCCGUGCCAAAGCGUACCAGUUGGAGGUCAUGCGUAUCUGUCGGCACGCAAGCGUGCCACGUGUCGGCACGCAAGCGUGCCCGUGCCGUACCGUGCCAGGGACGUAACGGCACGCCCCCGUGCCACGGCACUUUAAACCUUGCGUUUACGUCAAAAUUCAAAAGCCCAUAAUCACAAUUUCACAUAAACUCAACUGAAUUGACGAAACUUAUAUUCAAUUAUCUCAACGUCACUGAUGAAAAAGGAAAAUAUACUAACUUUGAAAACAAUGAACAAUUUGGCUAACAUAGUAACUGAUUGCUUUCAUCCAAAUAUUCACUUCUACAGUUCAACUGUUGCGAGGGAGAGACCAAAAAAAACGUUUUUGAGAUAAAGAAAGGAAGUUCUCCUUGUUAGAUACAUGAGAAACAUAUUGAUGAAUUUCAUCUGCCAUAGAUAACCCAUUUUAGCUAAUAGGAAUAUGAUCUAUUGACAGUUGUAAAGAACCCUGGGGUAAUGCGACCAACAUCACCAAGUCUUAGAGAGAUUGUGACAAAGAGAUGUCACCAAGAAUAUGUCACCAACAUGUCAAACUAAUCUCCUUAAAAUCCACAAUUACUCAAAGUAACAACUUCUAAUUCAUUACUAAGAAAUCUUUUACAUCCCCCCUCCCCCAGAUAAUUUAGAACUUUUCUUAUUUCAUUCUAAGAAGUUAUUAAAAAGAAAUUAUGAGAGUUACGAAACAGAUAAUAACUAUCGGUAUUAAGUACUCAUAACUGAGGUUUUUAUACUAUGCAUUGAGCUACAGGACCUUCCUGUUUGAAAGCCAGCUAAGUAUAGGUUGUGCACAUCCACAGGCAAUUGAUGAACUAUGCAAUGCAUCAAUCUGAAGAACGGAUUUCUAUAAACCACAAAUAAUACAAUGGGUUUGUUCAUAGCAGCCGUGAGCUUAUAAUGGUCUUGUGCGCAAGUAUCAUUUUACAUGUUCUAGGAAUUGCCUUAUUUUCAUAGACAAGGACUAAAAUAUCUGAACAUACAGUGGUCCUGUUAUACAUGUAGUUAAAGCACCAGCAUAUAUAAGGGGUCUCGAAACCAUUUGGAGCGUAACUCUUCCUGAUGCCCCACACGUAACAAUAUGAGCACCAUAGGGAAGAGAAAACAAGAUGGACGCUCCUCACACUAGUCAUCUGUUCAACUCGUUUCUACUCACUGAACCUUUAAGAGGCUGCAUUCCCACCAGCGAUGGCAUCUACGGUGGGAUUAACCAAUCUCCACGACAACACUAGGACCACUGUCCUACAAAGAUCUUUAGUUCGCUAAUGGUGUUCUAAACAAAGAAGAUAUGCCUACUUUAAUAACUAGCACAUUUUGAUUAGUUUAGCUCAAAGAACAACUAUAUCUUGGCAAAAGAACUAAAGAAGGAGCACACAAUGAAAUAUCUAUGUUAGCAAAAUAGGGAAAUAGUCAAAUAAACAAAUCAUACUGCAACGACCUGACCCGCUAGCAAUAAUAACUCGUUGGGCCAAACCACCGGCUCAAAAUGCUUAAGCCCAGUUAUUAUAUUUAGUGUGUCCGCUACUUAUAAACCCAACAGGCUCUCCCAUAUUAUUCGAUAUGGGACUAUUGUGAAUUGGGAUGUCACACAUACGAUCGCCCACCAAAUUAUUCUGAGAGAGAGAGAGAGAGAGAGAGAGAGAGUUCAUAAGCAUAAUAUCAUGCCAUGGUUAAAACCAUAAAAUGCGCUUGUCGUUCCGCCAACAGCGGUGCCUAUCUGUUAACAUAAGAAUAAAACCAAAAAGAAUCAGAACAGACCAAAGCAAACCAACAAAACAUCUCCAGAUUACUGCAUUCAAUAGAUUGAAAUAAAUCUACACAACUUUUUUCAAAUAAAACCAGGGGGCUCCAAGUCUCCAACAAUAAGAAACCCCACAAAUUUAUUUUACGAUUCAAGUUGACCGCACAAAAUUAAAUAGUUACUGCGUUCUUUCUUACCAAAUCAAGCUUUACAGAGGAAAUUUAAAUGAAAAUUUUAAGUUACUAGUUUUUUUUUUAAUUAAAUUUCUUUUUUUUUUUCACUUAACCUCAAAUUAAAUUAGUAGAUCGGAAAAACUAACGCAAAUUUAUGACCUCAAAGAAAGGGAGGGUAGAGACUCACCAUGGAGAAGCUGUCUCGGAUCAACGGCGCCACGGUCCAAGAGCUCGUUUCCUUCCAACAUAUCAAAGGAUUAGCUAAAGAAAAGAAAAAAAAAAAAAAAACACCGCAAAAUUAUAUCAAAGUAACACUAAAAACCUAAUUUCUCAUCGAUCGAAAGCAAGUAAGAACGAUCAAUCAGCGAGACCAUAGAGAUCGAUAGCGCGUGUUUCCUUCAAACAUGUCAAUUGGAUAUCACAAAACCCACACAAUCAAGUCAAAUUCAACAAUAUAAAUCUAAUUCCGCAUAGAUCCACGGCGAGUUCGAACGAUCACGAAACGAGAUCACAGAUGGAGAAGAGAGAGGAUUCAAUACCAUGUCCUUAGAGAGAGGCCCCGUGCAGUGAGGGCACCGUUGCGGAGCGCAAUCGGACCCCUCCAUGGACGCGGAUCUCUCUCUCUCUCUCUCUCUCUCUCUCUCUCUCUCUCUCCCUUCGUCUUCUUCGCGCUUCCUCUCGAAGCGCUCCACGUUGAUUGUAGAAGCGCCUCUCCGGGGUGAGAGAGAAACCCUCCAUUAAACCCUCAUUUUCGAGCUAAGACAAAAUGAACGGCGAAGAUUGGUCCACCGCUUAGAGAUAUCGGUGGAUCUCAUCCGUUCCUUGACGGACGAUCCGGAUACGAUCUAACGCCCCCACAGAUUCAAUUUGGGGAGUCGAUUUUCGAAUCGUAUUUUAUUAGCGGGUCGGAUUUGGAUGCGUAAUAUCUAUCUAUAACUCUACAUUAAUCCCCAAAAAUCAUACACGUGACAAUAUUAUUUUUAUUCUGUGUUAUCGUCGUUCGGUUUUCCCUAUCCGCUGCUUCGUGAUUUGCCAUCUACUUAUAACUCUAGAUUAAACCCCCUAAAUCAUACACGUGGUAGUAUUAUCUUUAUUCUGUGUUCUCGCCGUUCGGUUUUUUCUAUCCGCCGUAAAACAUACACGUGGCAACAUUAUCUUUAUUCUGUGUUCUCGCCAUUCGGUUUUUUCUAUCCGUUGCUUCGUGAUUUGCCUUUUUUUUGCGCAUUAAAUCAAAUUUAAAUUUUACGUGACGAGACCUAGGCAAAGUCAAUGGUUUUGGUUGUAGCCUGUACGGGUCGGGUCGCAUUUAGCUCGACCCAGCUAGCCGCUGACGUGGCGUUUGCGUGGCGGGGACAGACCACUUUUGCAAUUAUAAAUUUCGUGAAGCUCUUUGUACAACAAAAAUUAUGAGGGGCUAAAAGCAAGAAAAAAAAUACUAAAAUAAAAUAUUUCUCUCCAAAAUCCGCCCCGCCAACUUUUUUUAUCUAUUUUUUAUUCAAAUGUAAUUAAUUUAAUUAUUAUAAUUAAAAUAAAAUUUAAAUUUUUUUUUUUUUUUUUUUUUUGGCCUUGCCAUUUGGUGUGGGAUCCGAAUAGGAGCUCCGCCAGCCUGAAUCCAUUUGCAUCCCUAAAACUAUGCUUCUAUUUGCAGCUUUAACAAAUCUAUUAAAAUUCUUUUUUAAAUAGUUCUACUCAAACAUAAUUUUGAGAUUAAAAAGCCCAUCCACCACAUUUUUCGAACACUCUCUAACAGAUUAAGAUUUUACUCUCAAACAAUAUUUGAAAUCAUAACCAAACAAGCUAAGCAAAAAAAGAAACCCAAAAGCAGGAAACAAAAUUUUAAAAACAAAAUAAAAAAAACAUGACAAUAAUUAUUAAGUAAGAGCAAGGAACCAUCAUGAAAGAACAUACAAGAGUCUCGAAAGAAAGAUUAAAUUCUCUAAAAAUAAACUAUUAUUAUCAUCCAAGUUUGAAUUAAAAAGGGUAAAAACAAACAAAAAGAUGGGUUCAUCCCUUCAUUAUGCUUUCACUUUCCGCAUAAACCUGUUCUUACAACAUUGCAAGAGGAAACUGUAAAGGAAAGAAAAGAUCACGAGCAACGGGUAAUUUAGAAGUAGGAUUGGAUCAAAUCUGUUCCGUCGUUGCUUCAAAGAGAGAUAUUACUUCAUUACUCUAACACUAACUAACUAGUCCUCUUCUUCAUCGAACUUGAUUUUCUUCGCCGUAGGUUGAAGACCCACCUGUUGCCAUCAGACAGGAAGGAAAAAGUUAAAAGAAAAAAAAGUGUAAGCAAUAUAUUAUAAUCUUACAGUACUGUAAUAACUCCGAUAAAUCAUCCAACUUUAGUAUACAGUAUAUACAUUAGACCUAAUCCCUCAUUAAUGGUCUGGCCCAGCUGGAGUAUGUUCGACGGUUUUAGUGCAGCCUGGAGAUGCCCUGAAGAAGCAGCAAUAAUAGCAUCCCCGAAAACAGCAGAAGUAGAGAAGCGCAGUCGGUAGGAGGCGCUUUUUUAUUGGGAGCCACGAAGCUUAUUUUAAGUCCAGAAUGAAUCGGCUGAUCUUCAGACUUUCAGUACAUGAGUUAAACGCCUUCCAGAAAGUCCUAAUCCACAGCAUAGGCCAAAAGUGAUGGAUUACAUUUGGGCAAAUGUACGAUGAUUAUCCCGUAUACAAUCCCAAUAUUGAGAAUUGGUUGCGGUCGCUAUGCGCUUUUGUUUGAACUUUUCAGUCCCUGAUUGUAUCUUUCUGUCCCAACCUCGACCGGCAAAAGAAUCUUAUUCUUCUAGUAAAGUAGUCAUUUUAUCCUUUUUCCUUGUGAACUAACUUCAUUAAAGCAGGAUUGAAAAAGUCAUUUUACAGCGAAAGCUGACAAGGAUGUCGGAUUUAUUCCAACAGUCAACAAUGGAAGUGCAAUACUUGUCAAAACUUAAAUGUAGAAGUGAAAAUUCCAGGGAUCAAAUCGCAUUAUCAGGAUAGUCUGGGGACUGUACAUACAUUUUACCCUCACAUGUUUAAACACAAGCGUUAACUAUCAGGUGCUGGCUUGCGCAUAAUGUUUUAUAUUUUACUUCUGGAGACGAAUCCAAAAUUAGACUUAAGAACCAAAUAACCCCAAGAUUAAGGAGAAUGAGAUAUUCGCUUACAAGUUCUGGGCAUUCAUAAUCAAUUCCAGCAUCUUUAAUUCGUUUGCGCCGCUUCUCAUCUCGCUUUAGAAUUCCUCGAACCAUCUUUUGGUGCUCUUCUGCUGUUCUUUCCUGCAACAAUAUUUUACAUAUAGUAGUAUUAUCGAAGCUGGUAGAGUCAAUCACUGAAUAAUUGCUUCGAGAAUCAUAAAGAUUGGUUUACCUUGUUAUGCUGCUUUCGUGAAAUUUCCUUCCAAUUCAAUGGUAUAAAUCUCCUACUUACUCCUCUCCACCUAAGCCCAAGAAGGGGGGAAAAAGGAAAAACCAUCAUCAUAGGACAUAUUCCAUUGUUACCCAGUUUUCAUCAAAGGCACGAUGGUGAGUAUGUCAAUGCACAUUGUAUAUAAUUUCAUAUUCUGAUGGUCUAAAUUGUUCAGGCAAAUUAUUGAUGGCAAGGAGAAAACCCAGCUAAUGACAUUGCGUAGGCUCUACAAUGUCGAGAUAACCAAGAAGUGAAAAAUAAGGUCAUAUGAGGAGAAGUCUAAUCAAAUGGCAUCCUCAAUUUGCUAGAUAUCAAUGCUUAUUAUAAAGGUCGUUCUCCAAAAACUUACAGCUUUGGAUGAACGCGCUCUGGUGGAACAGGAUGAAUUUGAAGGGUGUGCUCAAACAGUAAGUAAUUGUUCAUCUCCUCAGCCACGACCUUGGCUACCUGAACAAGUUAUCAUGCAAAAAACAGCAUUUACUAAAUCCUAGGCUAACAAGUUUAACCAACAUAAUGUUGGGAUUCUUAAUUUACCUCAGGGUUUUCAAAUUCAAGAAAUCCAUAGUGCUUGGAUUUUCCUGUCUAAAAAACCACACAACGUUUAGAACAAAUAGACGAAAAUAUACAAUACAAAAAGGAUCAUAUUAACUACAAAAAAUCAUAAUCCAAUCAUAUGUAAGAACACUGAAAAAGCAAUCCAUUUAAAGCUAAGAAAGAUAAACAUCAUUACUAGCGUCCCUUAGUGGUAAUCAAGAGUGGUUUUCGUAAUCCCAGAAGCAACAACAUAAAUGAAAAAACUACGAAAUAUGUAAAGUUUAGACACUUCUGAGCAACUUAUUAUCGUUUGAUAGGCGAGAAUUGGCUGUUAUUAAAUGCUUUGCCUAUCUAUUGUAUUUGUAUCACCUAUUUUCAAUUUCUUCACCUACCUUCAGCGCAUAAAUGGCCUCCAAAUGACCGUCCUUACAAUACAUUUAGCUUCUUAUAUAGGUUAAGUCCAAGAUGAGUGGCUCAUCAAGUUUGGUGAUUUAGAUUGAUUUCGAACAUUUACUUCUUCGCAAAAAACUUGAAAACUUAGUUUACAGGGAAAAGGAGAUCCACAUACAAAGGGAAAAAAGGACAUACAGAGAGAUAGUUUGAACAUUCAAAAUAUGCGAAAGGAACAUACCAAAGAGCUAGACCUCAGCUUAAAGUUUUAAACACACAAUUAUGAAACAAAGCAUAGCUACUAUAUGUGAUUUACAAUACAUAGUUCUUGCGAAAAAGCAUAAAUUUUUGUAUGCAUUCCCAAAAAAAAAAGCUUUUCUAUCACCAGUAACAAUAAAAUAAACACAAAAAAACAACAAAGCACUUCAAAAAAGAUGCAUACCUUCCUGUUUCGAGCAAGUCUCAAUCUCUUAAUUUUCCCAAACUGCUUAAAGAAUCCUGCAUUAAAGCAAAAUGAACUUCUAAAGUACUCAAUCUACAACAAUCACAAGAAAGUUUGAUCUCUCUAAUAACAGCACAAAAAAGCAAGUCACCUUCCAUCUGUUCCUCAUAAAACCCAUGAGGAAUGUGCCCGAUGUACAAAACCGUCGCAGUAUCUUUCUUCGGCUCCUCCUUUUCCACUAGUUCCCUCCCCAGACCCCCUUCGAAAGGCUACAAUUAUACCGAAAAGAAUGCAUUUUUAAUCCCAAAAAUAUUAAAAUAAUAAUGAGGUGAAAGUGCAUGGAGAUCCCCUCAACUACAGGCCACCUAAACUCAACCGCUGAACUAUUGUUUCAUUUGAUUGAAUUGCUUUAAAUUUUUUUUUCUCAGCAUUGAAUUGGGAAUUCGUUUAAAUUAACAACUCUCUUAGCUAUCAAUCAUCUACAGUAACAAAAAAAAAAUCUGUGGUUCUAUCAGGUGGAAAAAUGUUACAAACAGUUAUAUUUAACAUAAAUACUUCUAAAUUUAGCAAAAUCCCUAUAAAUCAAAAGAGAAGUCUCAGAUCGAAAAAGACAUAGCUAAGGGCUCUAUUCAGAGUGCCCUAGAGUUGAUAAAUUCCCUGUACAUAUUUUUACCAAAUAACAUGCAUAAAUAAUAAAUAGGCAAAAAAGAGUGCGAUAAAUUCUAAAAAAUGAGGGAAAAUAUGAAGAAAAUUUGAAAAAUACCAAAAAAUCGGCAGAAGAUUCGUUCUUGCGACGAGAAAGCGUGAGCUGAGCAGAAGCUUUCUUCAGAUUCUUCUUCAAAACCUUCUUCGCCUUCGCCCCCAUCCUAGGUCAAAAUUAGUCGCUAAAAAUCGAAAAAUUACGAGGAAAUUAGGAAUAAAUUGGGGCAAAACCUGGAAUUGGAGAGAAAGAAAUAGAGAGGAACAAUAUGGAUUGUUGCAGAGAUUCUUCUUACCUUGAUGCCUAUGAGAUCGAGAGGGAGGAGAGGCGCGGGAGAGAGAAACGGAACGAGGAUUAGGGUUUUAGCGUUAGGGUUUCAGCGGAAAAGGAGACGGGGGGGGUCUCUUGCGUUUUUACGACUCGACCCAAACAAAAGGUAAAAUUACAAAAGUGUCCCUCUCGCAAUUUGGCAUAGUAUCCCCCUCGCAAUUUGGCAUAAAAUUGGUAAAAAUCUGUUUAGCUUACCCAUAGGAAUUGGUAAAAAUCUGUUUAGUUUACCCAUAGGAAUGUCAAUGACUAUGGAUGCCCGAAAUUUUAUCCGAACCCGAAUCCGAACGAAGCAAAUUUAUUCGAUGCUAAAUAAAUAUGGUUUUGGAUGUGAAUAUCAAAAACAAAAAUCCGACAGAUAUGAAUACGAAUAUAGAUUUUGACUGUAUCGGACCCGAAGCUGAAUAUCACCCGAACCCGAUCCGAAUCUAAAUUUAUUUUACAUUAUAUAUAAUAUGCAUAUAAAAAUUUGAUAUUAUAUUUGAAUUUGUAUUUUAAAAUUUUAAAUUUAAUAAAAAAAAUUUUGAAAUAUUGAAAAAAGAAAUAAUUAUUUCGGGUUCGGAUUUUCGGGGUCGGAUUCGGGUUUUGGAUUUUUGGUUGGGUUCGGGUUUGAAUAUGGAUUUUAAAAACCCGUCGGGUUCGGGUUUUAGGUUUGGAGUCGGGUUCGGAUUUGAGUUUUUAAAAAUCCGCCCUGAAUCCGACACGUUGACAUCCCUACUUAUCCAAACUAUGGACUGUUUAAUCUUUCAAUUCAAUUUGCUCGAUUUGUAUUAUUCAAUAGUAUUUUGACUUUAAAAUUUAGGCUAAUUAUAUUUUUAAUAAAUCUAUAGUUACAAAAAUUGCUUGAAAUAUUUAUAUCUAUAUCUAUAUCUAUAUCUAUACUAUAUAUAAAAGCGUAUAAGAAUUCCGACAAUGACAGAUGGAAUUCAAAAAGGUAUAAAAUAAUGAUUAAUUUGUUAAAAAUAUCUCAAAUAAAAAUGAACGAGUAUGAUCCAUUUAUUAAAUUCUACUAUAUCCAAAAAAAUUAAAAUAAUAUUCCCUACGAAUAGGUAUGAUUAAUUUGUUAAAAAUAUCUCAAUAAAAACGAGGGCUCUUUUUUGCAUUUAGCCCCUUGGCAAAUUCUUAUUUUAAAAUUAGCCCUGUCAAAAUUUAAUUUGCAAAAAUGGCCCUGGGCCUGCCACGCAGGCGCGCCACGCGGGCAGGACUGGGCCCAUGUGUUAAGUUGAACACGGUGAACCACUCACCAUGUUCAAACACGGUGAAUGGUUCACCGUAUUUAGUACGUAUUUUUUGUAUAUUUAAAAGAGGAAUAGGGAGUAGGUAUGUCAAUAGGUAUGGAUAUCCGAAAUAUUAUCCGAAUCCAAAUCCGAAUAAAUUAUAUAUAUAUACAUAAUUUAUUUUUAUUUAUUUAUACAAUAUAUAAAAUAUUUAAUAAUUUUUAUUUCUUAGAUCUUCAUCCAACGGUAUAGAUUUUUAAAACCCACUGGAUUCAGGUUCGGAUUUCGAGUUUUUGGUCGGAUAUGGAUAUGGGUAUGAAUUUUUAAAAUCCUUCGGGUUCGGAUCCGGGUUUGGAUUUUAAUUUGAUUUUCGGAUUCGGGUUCGAAUUUUUGAAAAAGAGAAGAAAAGGAAUACAAAUUCCCUAUUCCUCUUUUCAAUAUACAAAAAAUACGUACUAAACACGGUGAAUGAUUCACCGUGUCUUAAACACGGUGAUUCACCGUGUUUAACUUAACUACCGCACCCAGCCCGGCCCGUGUGGUGCUGACGUGGCGCCUGCGUGGCAGGCCUAGAGCCAUUUUUGCAAAUUAAAUUUUGACAGGGCUAUUUUUAAAAUAAAAAUUUGCCAGGGGACUAAAUGCAAAAAAAGCCCUAAAAACGAAAAUUUAUGAUUAAUCUAUUAAAUCUCUACUAUAUCCAAAAAAAAAAAAAUAAUAUUCCCUACGAAUAGUUAUGAUUAAUUUGUUAAAAAUAUCUCAAAUAAAAACGAACGGUUAUGAUCAAUCCAUUAAAUCUCUACUAUAUAUAAAAAUCUAUUUCUUACUAAUUGUUAUGAUCAAUUUGUUAAAAAAAUAUACCAAAUAAAAAUAGUUAUGAUCAAUCUAUUAAAAAAUAGCAUUUCUAUCUAUCUAUAAAUUCAACCCUACGAACGAUUAUAAUCAAUUUGUUAAAACAUAUCUCAAAUAAAAAUAAAUGGUUAUGAUCAAUUUAUUAAAAAAAUAGCAUUCCUAUGAUCUAUUUUACAUUAAAAUCAAAAUUUGAGUUUACAAUUAUGAAUUAAAUUUAAUUUUUUAAUAUCAAAUUUGAAUUAAUAAAUUAAAUUUUUUAUUACAGUGGAUCAAAUUAAAUUUUAAAUUUUAAAGUAAUGUGAAUUUAAUUUUGGAAUGCUUUUAGUUUAAAACACAUAUUUAAAUUUGAUUCAUCAAAAAUCAAAAAGUAUAUAAAAUAUUUCGAUGUAUAUAAAAAAAAAGAAUACAUAGGAUAUUGUAAAUAUUUUCUAAUAAAAUAUAACAUAUAAUUAUAAUAUAAUUUUUAUUGUAAAAUUUUGGAUUCUAUAAAGUACAAAUUUAUAUUUGAUUUAAAUAAAUUAUAGAUAAUUAUUACGUGGCAUUUGCACCUACAUUUUACUUAGUUAUUGACACUAUCAUAAAAGCCCGUAUUUACAAUUUGGUAUGUCGACAGACCCAUUUUUUAGUGGAAAAAUAUUGAUUCCAUCUUUCGUUCACGUAAAAUAUAAAUGAUAAUAAAACAAACUUUUAAUUUCGGUUUAUCUCUAAAUAGAAAAAAAUAUAUAUACUUAUCCAAAUUUUUGCCAAGCGAAAAAUAUCCUUACUGCUGAAUCUAUAUUUUAAUUAAAAAAUUUUUAAUUUGGGGGGUAUUCUCUAAAUAGAAAAAAAAUUAUACUUAUCAAAUUUUUUGCCAGAUAUUACUGUAAAUCUAUAUUUAAUUUAAAAUUUAAAAAUAAUUUAAAAUUUAAAAUUUAAAAUUUUGGGACUAUCAAUAUAUUACAAUAAAAAAAAUUUAAAAAAUAGAUUGGUUGGUAAAUUUGUAAAUCAUAUUUUUGAAUUAAUAUGAUGUACAAAUUUAUGAUCAAUUUGUAAAAAAUUAUCUCAAAUAAGAACGAACAAUUAUGACUAAUUUGUUAAAAAAAAAAUUUAUACUUAUCUAUAACUUCAAUUCUACCAACGAGUAUGAUCAAUUGGUUAAAAAUAUUAAAAAUAAAAAUAAACGGUUAUGAUCAAUCUGUUAAAAAAAACACUUAUAUCCAUUCAUUUUACAUUAAAAUUUAAAUUUGAGUUUAAAUUGUGAAUUAAAUUAAUUUUUUAAUUUUUGAUAUCAAAUAUAUCCAUAUAUUUUAUACUAAAAUUUAAAUUUAAUAUUGUAGAUAUUUUCUAAUAAAAUAUAACAUAUAAAUUUAUAAAAUGUUUUAUUUUAAAUUUUUAAAUAAAUAUAAUUUGCAAAUUUUUAUUAAUUUAAAAUAAAUUAAAUAAUUGUUGCGUGUGCUAAUUCAAAAUGGUCCGCAAUUCAGAUAGGUUCUCUACUCACGGAGUUGUUUGAGAUGCAAAUGCAAAUCCAUAAAAAAUAAGGAAAAAAAACUGAAAUUGGGCCGAAAUUUAAUGCUUUGCUCCAUACUUUUUGGGAUGACACGCUUAUCGAGGCAACUAGGCCUGAUUACAAUCGGGCCCACAAGCCCAAGCCUAAUUAGGUCUCUUAUAGCCCCAAUUCUCUAAACUGAAAUAUUUUCAUUUUUAUUUUUUCCUUUUUUUUGUAUUAUUAUUAUAAUAAAGAUUCGAGUUAAUUUCAUGCACGUUCCUACAAAUAUAGUGAAUGUCAAAUAUAUACCUACAAAGUUCAACUUUCAUAUAUUAUCCUUACAAAAGUUCUAAUAUUUUUAAAUACGUCUCUCUGAUCGUUUUCGUUAGAGACAUGCUUAUAUUUUUAAUUUUGCCAUCACAAAUAUAUUCCUCCAAAAGUCAUAACAAUACAAUAUAAGAGAAGUAAAAAUAUUAAAAACUAGUCAGAGUUAAGUAUUUAAUCUAUGAUUAACUAAAUUUUUCUAACAGAUUCUAACGGUAGAGAUAUAUUUGAAAAUAUUAUGACUUUUAUAAGAACAAUAUAUGAAAGUUGAAUUUUGUAGGAAUAUAUUUGCUAUUUACUUUAUUUGUAGGGAUCUGAAUGAAAUUAAUCCUAAAGAUUUUCUCAGUAUGACCAUUUCAAAAAAUUUUGUAUAACCAUUCAAAAGAUUCGAACGUAACAUUUAACUGGUGUGACGUGAUUGGAGAAAGCAAACUAUUGUGAACUUAGACCCAUUUUACUAACAUAAAUAUGAAAACUUUUUUAAAAAUGAAAAAAAUAAACAUACACCCCUUCCUUUUUUAGUUUUUUAAGUCCUUUCCUUUUAUGGCCAUCACUUAGUAUUACCAAAAGAAGCUAACUUUACAUAAGGACCAAACUUAAGCUCAUGAAUCAUGAAUGUUGGGUCCUAGUACUACUAGAUCAAGUGUACUUUGUUCAAUGCCCUAGCUAGCUAGCUAGGAUCCAAGUAAACCCUCUCCUUUCUCACUUUCUAAAGCAAGGAAAAUUAAAAACAAAAUAAAAAAGUGUCACACCCCCUUUUCCCAUCACCCUAUGUACCUAUGCUUGCUUUCUUUUGAGCUCUUCUUAUAUUCAAAAGUACACCCAAGUUCCACAUUGAUCCCACUCCAAUUUGUAGCUAUUCUUGCUUUUUCCAAACACACAAAGCUAUAUAAGCCUAUAGCCACUUCAACUACAAAGAAAAGCUAGUGAGACAUGGACAAAACAUGUGGCUCCCCACAUGCCCACCCUUUCAUAUGUUGGGCCUUAGCUUUUGCUUCCCCAAAAGCACUUCUUUAUGUGUGUAAAAAGAAGAGAGAGAGAGAGAGAGAGAGAGAGAGAGAGAGAGAGAUCAAUGAGUCCCACACAAUUGGUGGAAGCUUGAGGAGGAGAACUCUCCAUCCCUCCCAACCCUAGCUUUGCUCACUUUGUAACCAUUCAUUCCAAGAUUUUUUCUUCUUCUUCUUCUUCUUCUUCUUGGCUAAAUAUAGCAGCUCGGUUUCUGAACUUUUCGUUUGAAUAAUUUAAUUUUUGAUCCUCAAAAAUAUCUUUUUUUAUUAACUGAUCGAUCUUAUUCCUUUUGUAAAACGCGUAAGUUAUUUUAGUUUAACCUAAGCAGAAUAAAUAUUACUCUUUUAUAACAAAAAUUAAAAUUUUUCUUAAGAUUCAAGGACUAAAGUUCGACAUAAUUUAUUUAUAUAUAAAAACUCGACGGCCAGAAAUCAAAUUAUAAUAUCAAAAAAGCACAAUAAUAAUCCAUAAAUUUAUUUAUUUAUCUAUUUAUUUAUUUGUUCCUUCCCACUUCAAUUCUCCUCAACUACUUGUGAUCAACCACAGCCAUAAGAGCUUGGAUUCUUAUAUGGGCUUGUGUGGUUGGUAGGGUUUUGAGUGUGGGAUGUUAUUAUAUCUUCAAAAAAGUGAGGGACCCACGUGGCAAAUUAUAUCCAACUCAAUUAAUUUUGGGACCACUUCUUGGUUUUUUGGAUUAAUUUCAUAUAGGUACAUAUAAAUAUAACAAAUGACAAAUAUAUUUUUAUAAAUUUUAAUUUUUAUGUAUUUUUUCUAUAAAAGUCAUGAUAUUUUCAAAUAUAUUCUUGUUGUUAGAAUUUGUUAGAAAAAUUUAGUUAACCAGAGGUUAAAUAUUUAACCAUAAUUAAUUUUUGACAUUUUUGCCCAUCUUAUAUUAUACUAUAAUAAUUUUUGAAGGGACAUAUUUAUUAUGGCAAAAUUAAAAAUAUAAAUAGCUUUUUGACUGUUCUCUAAUUAUAAUAAAUUAGAAUGACAUAUUUAAAAUUAUUAGAAUUUUUAUAAAAAUAAUAUAUAAAAAUUAAAUUUUAUAAAAAUAUAUUUAUUAUUUAUUAUAUUUAUAGGGACACGUAUAAAAU
rnacentral:lncRNA from 1 species